GUUUGGGAUCCUCUCUAACCAACAUUGCUGCAGCUUUUUUUUAUGACUCUAAAGAUAUAAAGAGCCGAGCAGAUAAGGGGGCAGAUUGGAUCAGAGCUUUUGUUAAAGGUGUCUUUGUUUUCGUGUAUUGUGGGGUGAUUUUUAUCACCCUGGCUUCCCUAUGAAAAGACGACGUGUGUUUUAGCUGGACGGCAGUUUGCUUUGCUCGAGGCACACUGCAGGUGGCUGAGGAGAGAAGGGUGUUUGUGGCGUUGCAGAAGGAUAAAAAACUGUGGCUUUUACACAGUGUUGGCUGUGAGAAAGGGAGUGGCUUACGCGGUAAGGUAAGACGUUUGAGUGUUUGUUCUUCUGGGCCCUGCUGUUGAUUUAAAACAAAAUGAUAUUGCACUCUGUGUUUAUCCAGAUUUUCUAAGUGCUAAAUAAACUUCUGUUGGUACAGUCUAAUUGUCGAAAAUGAAAGUGUGUGCCGAGCUGCUUGUCUUUCUAACAGCUGCUGUCAAAGCGCUCGCUUGGGUCAAGUUCAGUGCAUGUGGGUGUGUGUGUGUGUGUGAGAGUGUGUGUGUGUGUGAGUGAAGAGACACAAGGCAACGGCUAGCUGUCAAACAUGAGUGACUCUGGCUUCACUCUCGUCCCGCUCCACACAUGGAAAAGUAUUUUGCUGUGCAUGCAUGAGGGUCACACAUGCAUGCUUACACACCAAGCAUGCAUGUGUUAGCAGACAACUUAGUCCACAGACAUCAAGAGCAAUUUUUCGCUCUUACUGCUCAAACGUAAAAAUGUAGGAAUAAAUUGAACCCCAGAAUCUGUUUAGCAUUUAAUUAUUAUCAUUUUUUUUUUUACAUUGAUAUAAAAAAAAACACUCAUUCUCCGAUUGUUUCUAGAUUUUGUAUCAAAACUAGAACAUAAAAAGGAAUAACAAGCACUCAAAUCCAAUUUAUAUCAUUUUGGUUUUAUAAUGACCGUAUCCCCACAGCGGCCCUCCUCUUCUGCCGUCAAACUCAGGGUGGGAAACUCAGUUAUUGUCAUGUUGCACUGUUGUUAUUCGGGGUCAUACGUCAUGUUAACCUCAAUAAUCUGACACCCUGUGGUCAUUUUAACACUCCCCUCUUUAUGAGCAGCUGCAAAGACACCAGAAAGUGGAAUUCCAGAGAGAAAUUCAGCCAUAUUUUAAGUAAAGAAAAAUCAUAUUUGAAAGCCAACUUCAGAGCUAAACUAAAAAGUGCAGUUCCCUGAGUGUCCACUCGAGGCUGGGCCCAAAAGCACCAGAAGCCACAUACACACCCAUUAAAAAAAAAACUAUCUUUACAGUAAAAAACAAACAUGAUUACAAAAACAGUGCCAGGAUCAUUUUACUUUAUUACUCAUAAGUUUUGGAGACCGUAAAUUGGGAUGGCUGAUUUGAUUGACAGGUAGGUAAGUCCCGCCUCAAUGUCGCUUAUUUUAUCUGUGGUUAGUUGGACUGAAUGUUAAGCUAAGAUGAAAACUUUGCUUUGGAGAUCAGUGAGUGAUGUCAUGGAGAUGAUGCUCAUUUUUAUAUGCUCUAAUCAGAAUGCUAACGAUAGCUCACUAUGUUAAGGGUUGGUUUCGACCCGUGUCUUAAAUCAGCUGUAAAUUACACUAAAACAAUUCUAACACAGGAGGAGGGUUAAGUCAAAUGUUUGAGUGUGGUUGUCAUGGUAACAAGCCAAAAACCACUCUAGGAGAGCCCUAUAAAACUGUAAACUUGCACAAUACUUAAAGCUCCUGUGAGAAACUUUCAGGUUGUGUUGAUUUUGGCGCCCCCUCUGGACAAAGCGAUCAUUACUGUUGUUUUGCGUAUAAGUAGUAAUUGUUGGCUCUCUUUUGACAGACAGAUUUAUCACUCAUCAGGACAGGAAUCUUUGUCGUCGAUAAUAUAAAUGUAGGCGUGAAGUUACCUACCUUCUGCUAGCUGUUCUUAGAUAUUAAGAAUAACUUCAUAAAAACAGUCUCUCUUCUUUUUGGCUUUUACAUGUUGUAAAGAUGUAAUAAUAUCUAUUUCGAUUUGUUUUAUAAAGCAUCAAAAACUCCUUACAGGAUCUUUAAACAUCAUAUUGUUUAGUUUAGUCAAACCUCAAAACCGUAAUUGGAAAAAACUGAUUUUUUUAUCUGAUUUGUCAUUUGAAAAAUAUGAGUGGUUAAAAAGUUUAAAUGAUAUAUCAAUUUAACUGGCAUUAGACAUGAUUGGUAUUGAAUACAUGGAUAAACGCCCAUGGAGUACAAAUGUCAGUUAAUUGGUCAAUUUGCUGAAACAUGCAGGACAUAAUUUAGUCAAUGACUCAGUUUUUUGUGUGUUGUAUAUAUCGCUGGAAAUUUCUCCUCCGAACCACCGCUGAAACCAAAUCAACUGUUCCUGGCUCUCGUCCUGUCUCUCCACAAAAUUCCCCCGGAAAUCUUUUGUGUCAGAGUUUGAGUUGCGCCACCGAGAGAUGGACAAGCAAACAAACAAAUCAACAUCAUUUAAAUCAGCGUGUCAAAGUUUAAAAGCGCAAACUCAGCCCCUUUUAAUACAACAUCGACGAGAAGACAAGAAUCUGAGCGGCUGAUUUGCUUCCUCGAUGAUCACCUCAGAAUCAAGAUGAGCCAGACAUGAACGACAGCUGCCGCGGAGCUCCGUCUAAGCUGUGAGACAGUCUCGGUUUCUUGGUGGAGGAGAGGAGACAGUCUUAAACAGACUCCAGCCGUCCCCUCUUCAUGCCUCCCUGUAUUGUGGGGAGAGACUCUGGCCGCAGUUUGUGGUUCUCUGGGCUCUUGAUUAGAAAAGGAAGGGAACAACAGAGAAGAGGUAACCGCGCAUGAACCCUGAGUGUCCUGAACAAUGAAGGAAGGUUUUAAUUUUCCUAUUUUUGCGAGUUGCAUCUUGAAAGAAAGACCAGAGUAAAGAUUUUCAGAUUUUCAUUUUCUCCCUCGGCCUUCGCAAAGCAUGUAAGUCCAUUUCUCCUGGGCUCUAGUCACUUCUACCCCACAUGUAAAUUAUACUUUCUGGCUUCUAAUGUGCAUACAAAAUUACAUUAUACAGUCACCCACAGGAAUCUUGCCCCCUUUGGUCUCUGCUUCUGUGUUUUAAUACACUCAGGCACUUUUCCCCACUCCAGCCAAGUUAUUGCACAGAGUAUGUCGAGAGGAGAAACUGCCACAGCACUGCGCAGAGUAGAAAAAGAGUUUGUAGGAUGAUGUAAACCUGGUGUGGAGUUUUAGAGUUCAACAAAGUCACAGCAAACCUGAGCUGUGCGUUCAACAAACGGUUUCAUUUUUUUGUGCUUUCUGUGUCGUUUCUGCACCGCAAGAAUCCUGAUUUUACAAGAAGCUACACAAAAUAUUCCACGAGGACCAACUCGUGUCUCUGCAGCCACCACAGCACCCCAACCCUAACCCAAACAGCAGGCCUUCGCUCUGUUAAAUAAUCUCUCUGAUUGCACACUGAGUCAGUGUAAACUUGCUGAACUGUGGAGACUGGCAUGCCCUCCCUCUCACCCAGACGAUCCCAACCACCGACCCGACCACACGUGGAACCAGCUCCUGGGCUGCUAACAAACCGUAUUUCACCCCGGCACCACAUCAACCAGACCACUUCUAUCUUUGGUUUCACACACUCUGAAAGGAGUAAUUAGUGCAAAAUUUACAGCUGCAGGGAAUGCAACUGGAAGGCGAGGAUGCAAUAUCUGCAAACUAUAUUUUGGAGCCGCGGUGGAGUUAUAGCACCUUGUAUUGUUGUGUGUUUUUUUGAGGGAAAAAAGAUUCAGAGGAUUUUUGCAGCCAGGUUCCCACGCACACUACAGCCACCUCACAGAGAUUAGUGCAUCUUCUCCUCAUUUUUAUCUACACCUACUUUAUCUCCGAGCCCAUUUGGCUACUGUCUCUGGGGUCAAUUUUUCUAGUUUGGACCAUGUCCCAUAUGUUAAAAUAAAGGAGGGAGCUUUAAGUCUCUAAGGUUGCUGUUUUUGUCGAUUUUUGCAACAUUGCAAGCACCUCCAAGUCCAAGCCAAUGCUUCUCUGCAGGAAAUAGUGAGUGGAUUGCUCUGUUCUGCGGGGAUAGUGAGGGAUCUUGGCGUCUUGUGAGGGUAGAAUGUAUUGUGAGAUUGGCAGGUGGGCAUGGCCAACAAUAGCAGAGCUAGCACCACCACUUUAGGCUCUUGCAAGUUGACGUCCAUGUACAACCUCGUUUUCUACGAUACAGCGCACCGUGCCACACACCACCAUCCAUCACCUGUUUUUUGAACAGCUAGUUUUAUGAGAUUAUAGCGCUCGCCAGUAGCAACAACUGGCUAUGCUACAGUUUAUACAAAACAUAAGUAUACAUGCAUUUUGGUAAUGCCCAUAGACUGUAUAUAGAAUUGACGCCAUCUGCCUUCUUGCGGGGUGAAGCCAGCGCGAGAACAGCACCCUCUGGUGACGAGCUGCAGUAUAGGUCAUAGAUCCCGCCUCCUCCAGCAAUCCUUAUGGAGCUGUGGACAAACUUUAGAAAAUACUUAAACAGAAUAUACAUUUUUCUCCGCCUUGGGAUGUCUGUUUGAGCCGAGCGUCAUCACUGUGAUUCUCUGUGACUCUCCCACCGAAUGCGUACAAUGCUACUGCGCAAUGUUUGUUUCAGGAAGUGAAGACAAUCCCAGAAAUACGGAGAGCAAUUUGGCUUCAAAUUCAUAUAAUGACAGAAGGUGGAGCCAAGUUGUCUGUAGUAUAUACAGUCUAUUAGGGGUGGGAGAAAAAAUCGAUUCACAUAAGUAUCGCAAUUUUUUGUUUUACAAUUUUUAAAAUCGAUUUGUAAGUUCAAAUUAUUAUUUUUUUUUUCCGAAUUUAAGAAUAAAUCUUAAAAACUGACUAACAUGUGACGUAAAAUUUUGGAGAAAUAUGGUUCCUGGAAUAGUCAGUAGACAAUCAUAAUCAUUCAACUGUUUCACUGGUGUUAAAAAAAUGGAGACUAAAAAUCGAGAAAAUCAACAAUAUCGUAGAAACGCAAUUUAAUCGAAUUGGCAUCCAAAAAAUCGUGGAAGAAUCGUAUCGGGAGAAAAUCACAUCGCCCCAGCCCUACAGUCUCUGCUAACGCCUCCUGACACACCAACAGACAAUCCUACCACAACUAAAAAAAACGUUACACGCCGUCAUCUUCAGUUUUUACAGAGUCUGUGAGAAGAGCUCAACCCCGACCCACCGCCACGCCUCUGGAAGUUCGAUGGUGGAUGUUUUCUGUUUGGUCUGUGGCCAAAUGUGUUUUCCAGGUUUUCUACUCGGCGAGGUCGAGGACCCGCGGAUGUUUGACUUCACUGCUUCUAAUCACACUCCAGCCCCCCCUGACAGCUGCUGUGUGUUAGGACCUCCCAUUGACCCUUGACCUUGCACUAUCCCAAAUUCAUUCUAUUAAAACACCAUAAUGAGGGGUUUACUGGACCAAUUGCAGGUUUUAUUUAAACCUAUUAGCAGACUCGGAGAGGUGGAGGGGAGGGGCUGCAGCGGCGGCGGCGAGCGGAGAGGGGAGAUUGAAGGGGGAGUGUUUGAGACUGAAGGAAACAAUUAGUCCAAAAUGUCUCAGGGUGUGUUUGGCCUUAAGCCACGCUUGUUUUAAUGUCAGGAGUAUAAAAAGAGCUCAAGUGUUUCCAGAUUAUUUGCUGUGUUUUUUCCCUGACACAUAAGUGUUUAGUGAUGGCGGCGGUUUUGCUCGGGAUGGUUGUGUGUGUUCAUUUUGAACUGCCGAUUACAGACGGACAGGUUUUGGAGGCUGCUGUGGGAGCAGGUCAGGAAGGAUUAUGUAAAGUCAUUCUUAACUUUCCCGAAGGGUUUUCCUGCGAAUCUUUGAUCUGCAGACUGUUAGUAGAUGUCUCGGUUGUGUCUGGACUCCUGUGAGACCGCAUGCAAAAGUACUUGCUGUGCACAUAUGAUGAAGUUAGCUGUUGACACAAAGCUUCAGUUUGAAAGUCGCCUGAAGGUAAAAACUCAAGUUUGCGAUUCAAGAACAAAUCAGCGACGUUCCAUUAAAUGUGCGUGCCGGGAAAAUGUCCGUGCCUGUUUUUUCUCCCCUGACAUGACAGCAUGAACGCGAAGAUACUCUGCAGGGAUGACACUUCCCAUGGUAUAUCUUGUCCUCGAGCUGUCUCGAGAGAAGCGUGGGUGUAUGUGGGUUCCUCUUUUUUUUUGUUUUUACGCUUUCUGAUCUACACCCCCCUCUUUCUGCCUUUCUUCCCUCUCAUCUUCACGACAUGUGUUCUGCAUAAAACUUGCGGUGUGCUCAGUCUUCCACAUUGUCUACUUUUUUGAUCCUUCAUUCACAUAAAUCAUCUCCUUAAUUUGCCUGUGAAUUAGAUGGUGCGGGACAUGUAGACAUUUAGUACCGAUCUCAGGGGCGAGGAGAGAACAGAGGGCCCACCCCUUGACUUUACGGGAAAUGGGAGGCCGCUCCACAAAAGCAGGACUAUUUCGAGGCCUUGUCAGGCUGUGGGACGUUCCCUUUGCAGCGCUAAGAUAACUGUGGUGGAUUUGUUUUUAUUUGGAGAUAAUUAAAACAAGAAUAAAAAUGCCAUUUGCACUGCUCAGUUUUAUGUCCCUUUUACGAGCUCAAGACCGAGUUAAUCUGCUCGUGCACACGCGUGUUUACUCACGCAGACCAGCGCAGCAUGAAAUCUAAAUCUCAUGUGUACCAUUCAUAUAUUAGAGGAUAAUUUAUAAGCUAUUAAAAUGAUUAUUGGUGAAGUGGAUCAAAUUCUCCAAUUAGGCCGUGAGUGUGCGAGCCAAGACUUUCACUGUUUAUGAGCAGCCGUUAGCCCGUCUGUCUCCAGCCUGUCUGUAACCUCGAUUAGAUUCACUCCACGUACAAACACAUCAGCACACCUGCUGCUAACCACGGCGUGUUGUGAUCGUUUGAGUUAGUGCGGUAAUUUUGUUUAUGGCCGCUUCCAUAUUGUUUCCAUGGCUUGAUUUCAGUUCAUAAUAAAUCUUUAAUAGAUGAUGAAAGUGGUUUGCUCUCCCAAUUAGUCAAUGAUGGAGUAAAAAGGCCUGAUUAAAGAAGAGCUGUUUGAGAUUUUGAGAGUAAAGCAUGAAAAUGAAGUUGUGGUAACAUGGAGCAUCUUGUUAAAUUGUAUUUGGUAAAAUUUGGGAAAGGUUUUACCAAAACAAACUUUAAAGGGAUAUUCCGGCGUAAAAUUGAUUAAGGGUCAAACACACCGUAGCACCAAGUUAGACACCCUCUCAAGAGAUUAAUAUUGCCGACCGCUUGCUUCUCUAGUUAUACCAACUUUAGUUACGACCGCAGGAUAGCGAUACACAGCGAUCUGAGGAGCCAUAAACAAACCUCAACUAAAAAGACACUCUAUAGCCACAAAUAAUGCUCAGAACAGCACCUAACUUCAUCAACAGGACAUAUAGGGUCCCAGCCAUAGUACUAGCUAACAUCUUUUUAACUUUCCCUCAUUUCUUUAGCAAAGAGACCAAACACAACUCAUCUACUCUCUUCCAGCAGCCGCUUGUUUGUAGCAAGACCUCGAGCCAGUCCAUUACAGACUACAGCGGGGUGAUGCAGCUCAAGGAAGAACAUUUAUGAUCAUUUCUUUAUCAUUUUCUUGAAGUAAUAAUCAUCAUAUUCAUCAUUUUGCACUGCAGACGCAGUAUUUCUUCUGCCUUAGCGUCUCAGUCUGAUUGCAUUUCCAUUAAGAAAUUAUCAUAAAUGUUCUUGGUUGAGCUGCGAAACUCCGAUGCACUCAGUGAUCGACUCGUCAGGGCUCCCGCACAAACAAGCGGCUGCUGGAGGAGAGUAGGUGAGUUGUGUUUAGUCUCUUUGCUAAAGAAAUAAGUCAAAGUUAAAAAGAUGUUUGGUGGCUAGUACUAUGGCUGGGACCCUAUAUGUCCUGUUGAUGAAGUUAGGUGCUGUUCUGAGCAUUAUUUGUGGCUAUAGAGUGGCAUCUUGUUUGAGGUUUGUUUAUGGCUCCUCAGACAGCUGUGUAUUGCUAUCCUGCGGUCGUUACUAAAGUUGGUAUAACUAGAGAAGCAAGCGGCCUGCAAUAUUAAUCUCUCUAGGGGGUGUCUAGCUUGGUGUUACAGUGUGUUUGACCCUAAAUUAGUUUUAUGCCAAACUAUCCCUUUGAGUCCAACUUUUCCUGGUAAGAGCGCAGAAAUUUUAGGCAAUCCUCUGAGACACUAAACAAAUAUUGUAUGAUUUUCUUGUUUCCAUGACAGCUGCACUGAAAAGAAGGAGACUCUAAGAUGAGAAAGUGCGAGUGCAACCUUGUACUCAAAGCGUAUCCUUGUACCCCUAUAAACACCCAUCAGGCUUUGCAUUACCGAGCAGAGAAACCAGCAAUACAACUUUAUCCACAGAUUAGCACCAUGCACCGUCAGGGUCAGCUACAGUACAGAUCUGCUGUCAAGGAGGCUCAGAUUAAAUCUCAGGGACUGACAUGUCGUCACCCUGUGAGUGCAGCUCAGCGUUUAUCAGCUGAUAAAUCUUUGUAUUCUUCUCCCUGAUGUUGAGAGGCUGUUGAUUUGUGGCUCAUUUCUUCUUUCUUAUGCACAAACUGGAGGGUGAAUUGUUUUCAGAUGCAUCUGUUAAGAUAACAUAAAGGCUUUUGAGCAUUUCCAAUGCGAUGACUGCUUUUAUUUGGCAUCAAAACUCAGUCACAGAGAUGUUCCCCACUGAGCAUUUUUGGGCCUUAAAGAGGUCUAAUAGACAUCUAAGUGUAGCCUAGAAGACUGAUCUGAAAUCAGGCUACCACAGGUCUAAAUAAUAAAGCUUUUUAGACGUCUAAAUUUAGACAGAGUUUAGACUAAAGGUCCUUACACACUGGGAACGACGUGAAUAUACGACGUGAAAUUACAAUGCGAAAUUACGAAAUAUUUGGAGGCAAAUUUUGACGCAACUGACUAUACACAUCAAGCACAAUGCAGUUUUACGACUUUCCGGGGGAAAAAAAGACACGUCCUGGGUGGAAGCGAGAAGACUGACACAACAGCAGACUGAGUGUUUUUCAGUUCUGAUUAGACACUAGUGUUGAGAUGGCUGUCUGUCAUGAUAGCAUGUAAUGAGUCGGGGCCAGUACCAGAUAAGCACAUUAAACUAAGUGUUGACAUUUCAGAAAUCCAGCCACAGUCUACCUUCAACUCUUUUCCCCGAACAGUUUUGCUUCUAAUUUACUCUCUUUCACUUCCUAAAUCUCAUCUAUGGAAAGUUACCUGCUCAACCUGUUGUGCCUGGAGGUUUCAUUUUUUUCCUCUUUACAUUCCUGGCCCGCAGCGUGCAGCGCAGCUUUCUCUACUUCUUUAGUAACUGACACCCACAGACAUCACCUGCCUCAGGCGAGGAAAUAAGGAAGCACCGCUAAACUGUUUUCCACUGGUCGUAGGUACGGGGUAUUUCCUGGUUAGCAACUUCACUAUUUCCAACUGCUCACCUGACUCUUACAGGCACGCAGAGCAGCUCAAUUCCCUUUUAAGAUGUUUCCUAGUUUGGGUGCAUACGGUCUUCGUAGAUCGCUAGGCUGAACUGCGAUGAGAUGGUCUUUCUUUUCUUGCUGUUCCCAUCAUUACCUCCUUAUUACUCAGUGCUGCUCCUGUCGCUUAGCAACCUUAAAGCCACACUGACACAAACUUAGUCUCAGCCACUUAUAAGUCCAUCUUGUAUGCUUUGAUUUACAUUGAAUCAAGACUUGUUGGGUCAGGAGGAUGCAUCAAACCCGUCAUGGCUUUUUGGAAAAGUAGGAUGCAGUUGAUGGCUGAAGUUACCUUGGAGAUGGGAUGUGUUGUUCAAGUUCAUGCUAAAAAUAAGCUAGUUCCAAGUUAAGGUCCUUACAAACCAGGAGCGACGCAAAUAUAUGACGCGAAAUGACGAAUUAUUCAGAGGCAAAUUUUGACUCGCCUGACUAAACACCUCAAGCCUGAUGCGAUUUUGCGACUUUCUGGGGGGGGAUUGAGUUUGAGACAGUGAAAAUGCAUAUGGUAUGUUGUAUCUGAACAGGUUAGCUUACAAGCUAAAGUUACUUAGCACAGAUUAAAGUUAAAACAAAGACGUUUGACAAACUGUUAAAGCACACAAACCAUCGUCAUAUGAGACACUCUCCACAAGUUGGUAAAUCAGACGUCGCAACAACACGCAACCUGAUUGGUCAGAAGUGGACACACAGUAUGCGAAACUUAAGGAAAUUUGACCGUGAUCUGAAAAAAUAAAUGCCGCAAUAAUCGCCUGAAAAAAAUGGUCCUAGUGUGGAAGGACCUUUAGGUUUCAACUUGAAAUGAACUAGUUUUUACAUUCAGAAUCUGCAAAAAACUCAAAUCUUAGUAAGUGUCUGUGUCUUAUUUUUGGUAAAAAUAUCUUUGUGUAUCAGACUUAAUUUGAGUGAAAUUUACCCAGGAAAUGUCUUAUUAAAGGUAGUAUAUGCUAAAACAAGUCCUGAAUUGCUUGCAAUGAGUGGAAAAAAUACCUACAAAUGGAUUUAACAGAAACUGAAAAUGUUUUAAUUCAAGUACUUGUUUUUUUUCUCACUCAUUUUAAGCAGGUUCGGCUUUAUUUGAGGCAUAAAGUACCUUGUAGUAUGACAUUUUCUUGACAGUUUGGGUUAAUUUGUGUUUAAUCAAACUUGCUAGGAUGUUAUUUUACAAGAUAUAUGACAAAAUACUUGCUAAAAUUUCAGUUUUUGCUGUGUAGUUCAAUAAUUUGAAUUUAAAAAUGCAUCUAUGGCCCCAAAAUGAAGCAGCCCAGGAUCAUUUUAACAUAAAAACCUGCUUUCUAGUAGAAGAUGUGCGUAAAUCACCUCCCCUAAAAAUGUUUCUCCUGAUUUUGUCCCAAAUGCAUCGAAUUGUACAAACACUCAAAAGUUUUGAGGCGUUUGUACCAAGACAAAUCAGCGUCUUUAACACUUUCAUGUACUGUAGCUCUAACGUGGUUGUGCAUUUAAAUUGAGCAGGUUAUUUAUGUUCAGCUCCCCGUGUUUUUGUGGGGAGUUUCUGGAUUCAUGGCUGCGCACAGUCACAGGUCACAUGAUGUGGGAGUCCCAGGUCAUUCAGGUCACUUCCUGGGCUGGGGGGACAAAAGAGACCAGGGAAGCACUUCUGUAGUAGGAAAGACAUAAAGAGUCUUUUCAGUGAACAACAAAGUCUGACCUUUUCGUUCUCAGAGGAAUUUCACUUUCCCUAGAACUAGCUUGCUUUGGAAAUCACGCACUCUCCCUCCCUCUCUGCCGUGUUCUCGCCUAACAUGACCUGUCCUGACACUCACGUUUGUCCUUACACUUCACAGAAAAUCAACAGCUUCAUAACCAGACUGAUACUCGUUUGGUGUUUGGUCCUGUUUGUUGAAGUUCACCGGACUUUAACCUCCACUGACCGCUGACUCGGAGGAUUAUCAGUGCGCAGAUGAAAUUACAUAUCUGCUGAAGUUGAUCGAAUCAGCAACAUUUGAUUCAACUCAACACGCUCACCUUGGAUUACCUCUCUGCUUCCUUGUUCUCUCUGGUCCUUUUCAGUUUUAUUCUUUCGCACCAACAUUUCUGGUCAUUUCUUCUUCAUUUUAGACUAAUUUCAGAGAUUUUAACCUUCUUUUGUCCGGCCUUUUGCUCACUUUUUGAGUACUAAACUAUUGAGUCGUUCAUUUAACAAGAUGCUGCUAAACUGACCUUUUCAUAGAUUAUAAGAUCAUAAUGUCAUCCACGUUUUCAUGAUUCAUUACUGCGUUUAAACUUUAAGCUCUAUGCUCCCUUGUUUGGUUUGCAGGAUUCAUUCAUCAUCUCUAAUUUGAUAGUAAUACGACUAUUUUAAAACAGACUAAGCUUUUAACAAUAAAACAGCAAAAAACCUUAAAAACAGGGAAAUUGGCGUAUUGUUUAUGUGCUGCGUUUGUGUGUGUGUGUGUGCACAGUUAUGUUGGUAUAUGGGGUUUUAGUUGUCCAAAUGUGACUCCACAUGCUUUUGAUGAAUUGGUGCAGAGUUUAAUCAGAACCAAUGACCUGGGCCCCCCCUCAAAAAAAAAAAAAAAAAAACCCAACCCCCACAGCCCGACUUUUUCUUCAUGGUGCAUUUACUGCCUCAAACUCAGGUACAUGUAUUUAUGAUGGCAGUAAAGCGGGCCGCUGUAGUUAAUCGCCUAAUGGCGUCUCCUUUCCUCUGCCACCAGUGAGUCUGGGUUCGGGCCACAGGGACCGAUCACUGUAGACAGGAUUGGGGGGGAGGGACAAGACCGAGUUUUGGGGUUCAAAUCCAAGAGAGCAUAAACUCAAAUAAAUUUAAAUUAAACUGACUUCACUCUUUAGUAAGUCUUAUUAGAUGUUAAUGUUAUAUGGCGUUUUCCAAAGGUGUGAGAUCUGCUGUGACUGUCUGUCACAAACUUUUUUUCGACAUAUCAGAAUCCAAAUUCAUACCAAUACCCCCUUAUGUUGUUUAAUAGCAAACAAGACAAACAAGACGGACAACUUUCAUUUUUAAUGUCUGAAAUCUGUCUUUUAGUCUGAAACCAUUGUAAAGCGGUAGGGGUCAGUAGAGCUGUUAAAGAAGAAGCCCUAUUUCUAAAUUUUUCUUGGUAAUUAUUAAAAAAAAGAAACAUUUAACUGUCAAAAGUCAGCAGGUAAAGAUUUCUUUAGAGGACAUCAUAUUAAUACUUUAGCAUGUAGCAGACAGUAUAACAAAGACUCCUUCGUCCACUGGGGGCGCCAUAAUCGACACUAACUGAAAGUUACAGACAGGAGCUUUAAAUUUUGUAGUUUUUUUUUUUUUUCUGGUAAAUUUCAUCUAUUUUCAUCCAUGGCUUCAUACUUGUUUAAUUAAAACUGUGAUGCUCCUAUAGGGUCAUGCUGCUGUGAGAGGUGUGUCUGGUUAGCUUCUCUCUGCACUCGAAUCAGAGCAACUAUGCACACCUGGGCCCCGGGUGCUGGGAGUAUUUAAGCUCCCACAGUUACUUGCAAUUCCCUCUUUGUUUCUCCUGACUGUCUUUACAGGUACUUGGUUUGACUUGGUUUGACUUGGUCUGGUUUGGUUUGGUUUGGUUUGGUUUGGCUUGUCUUGUCUUGUCUUGACUUUGGUUGGUUUAGUUUGGUUUGGUUUGGUUUGGUUUAGUCCUAGUUUCUUUUGCUCUUUACAACACCCUCGCACACAUACACCUACUUCCGCCCAUGCACACCUUACACAAUACUGAUUUUUACUAAUUCACACACCUCAUAUCUUAAAUAUUGUUAUUCGAUUCACUUUGAAUUAAUAAAGAGUAUUUGGGAGUUUAUACAUGGGGAGUGUAUUCCUUCUUCUUUUUGUUGUGACCACCUGAGCCUGGUCAUGACAAAACUUUAUUUGUGAAAUCUCAAAAAUUUUUUGUCCUGUUUGUGGCCCCUAUCUUCUCUAGUUUCUGUCAGUCUUGUUGUUUUCCUCCUUUUUAGGGCAUUAAUUUGCAAAAGUGUUUUAUAUACACCUUCAAAACAGUUUGUUUGUAAAUAUAUAUAUUCACCUUUUACCCCCACAGUUAGCUUUUACAUGCAAAUUAAACACAUAUGUACUGGUGCGUUCAUGCAGACCCGCCACUGUUUCCGUAUUUAUCUUUGGGUUAUUAUAAAUAUGAUCUGCGAGUGACACUGGCGGACACCAAGCCGGGCAGUUACCGCCCUUUUCCUCUUUCCGUCUCCACUGUCCAUCUUCCCUCCUCCUUCCUCUCUCCUCUCCUGGUUGCAGUUGUAUUUGUGCGCCUUGGGAAGAUUACAAAGAGGCGCUUUGUGAGGGGAUGCAGCUGCUGAAAUUCGACUAGAUCCAGCUGAAGAGAGAAGGGAGCAGGUGGGUCAACAACGCCACCCUGCCGUUCCCAGAAUAUCAGGCUGCAGAGCUCUGCCUCCCUCCCCCACCCACACACACACACACACACACACACAUAAGCACACAGAGCCUCAAUGCACCCCUACCCCAUCCCGGCACACACAAACAAACAUUAUACCAUGUCAAAAUACAAACACAGUAACACCCACAAGACAGCAAAACAGCAAUAUGCACAUGUCAAAGGACUGCCUCAGUGGAAAUACUGCCCACUCAAACAAGUGUGCAUCACUGGAAUCAUUCAUGCGGUGGGAGAAUGUUGGCAGAAAGUUAGAAAAACAACACAAGUAAUUACAACAACACACAAACAAAUCUCUAAGAGCUGCUUCACUGAGGCCUUCUGCUGAAACGGAGCUGUGGCCUUGCAGCCUUUUUAAAAAUAUUUUUAAUCACCACUUACAACGAGGGCAGAGAGAGAGAGAGAGAGAGAGAGUGUAGUGAAAGCAGAGGAAGAUCCUGUCAGCUUCCUAAAGUCAGGUUGUUAACAGGUCGAGGUGCUGCCAAAACGCUGGAUUUCUGCAUUGCAAAGGGGACUUUGGUAAGCUGACCCUCAUCCGGCUUUGCGCAGCUCCAAAAGAGGAGGUGGAGGAUAGAGGGAGGAAAGGAAUGAAAGCGAGGGGAGGAGAGGAAGUCCAGCAGGCCAGUGGUCUUCUUCUUCUUCUAGUUCAGGCGGAUAAAAUGUCUCACCAUCCUCUCUGUAGGGGAGCAGGAUGCCUGACCAGUGGGACAUGAAAAUGCACAGACACAGAUUUACUCCAUUAUUAGAUUUUUCCAUAAUAAUAAAAAUAAAAAAAACCCUCUAAUGCAGAACUUAAGACGCACUGAAGCUGCACCGAAGUAGGAAAAUGAAAAAUGAUCUUCUGAUUUGCUUCAUUGUCUUCAUCUUAACUCCUAAUCCGCUCCAGCUUCGGACAAGCUGCUUUUAUUUUCUCUUUCCUCUGUGGAAACGCCGACCAAAGUAAGGCUGAAUUUCUGCGUUGACUAUGAUGUACGAUUCCAAACUUUUUGAUACUCAUAAAACAAAUAUUUGUGUAUGAUUCAAAAGACUUUCCCACUUUGUGAACUUUUCCUCAGCUUUCUGCUUAUUUACUCUGAGUCACUAAUGAGGGGUUUGACGUACUCCGCCCCUCCCCCACACAUCGGCGUGUGCUCAUCCGCAUUCAUGACAGUGAUAAUUCAGCCGCACUGAUAAUAACUCUUUCUGUGCUUCCCCCGAAAAACGUUUGAAUGUCAUUUCAUACACACACUACGCUCCACGGGGUUGUACGCUGAAUGACUCAACUGUCCCACACACACUUAGUAUUCCUGCAUGGAGAUCCACCGUCUGAUAGAGUUACACCAAUACUGAUGUUGAUUUUAGUUAAAUUUCUGUCCACUGUCCUGAUAUUUUCGGGUUGUUUUGCACAGAAAUAUAUUAACAAAGUAACACAGCAGCUAUUUUACUGUCUCGGCAAGGAUCGGCUUCAUGUGCAUGUUUAAGGUGGGGUAGGCAGGAUCUAAGGAAGUGCCUGUUUUUGGGAGAAAUCUUGAAUGUAAACAACCAGUUUUCCCCUCAGCUCCUCCUCUCUGCUACAGCAAGCCCCGCCCACAAACAGACGCUCCUGCUCGCUCGUAUCGUUUCAAUUAAAUUCAGAUAUAAUGCAGAUAAAUACUUCAGAUAAUUACUAAUGGGGCCCAGUCAACGUGAAAGUAAAAAGCAUUGGUGCUACUGUAGAUGCCAACAGACUACCAGCAAACACAAUGUUUGCAGGACUUCUACAACGAGGAUAAAGUGACAUAGUCCAGGACCCAAGGUCAACAGUUAAGCAGCACUACAACACGCUACAGCAGGUCCCGUUUGACAAGAAACACUUCUGUUACAGACGCUUGGUUUACUUUGUUAAAGAGGUUUACCUGUCCAGCAGAAAAGUUACAGGGUCGGUAAGAUCCCAAAGCACCAUCUUGGAUUAUGACAUUGUCGUCAAGUUGGGGUUGGCAAGGAUCGUCCGACUUUCCGAGUCAGAAAUCCGACUUUAAUGGGGCACUCCUGAUGAAUUUCCGACUCUGAGCAAUUCCGACUUUGGAGUACAACUGGAGUGCAGCAAUAAUAGUUUGAUGAUGAUGAAGUGUAGAAAAAUUAAACUAAAGCAUGUGGAGCUCCCCCUAGUGACUGGAGUAAGUCAUGAGAAGUCAGUGGACUGGUUUCAGACAUUAAAAGUUAGUGUAUAACAAUCACCAAUCUUGUUUCUAUUCAUCUUGUUUGUUUUUGAAUGUCUUUAAAAAGGCAUCAAGAUGAAUUUCAGUUUAUUUCACACACCUAAAAAAACUCCUCACAGGAGCUUUAAUCUGAAGGUUUAUACAUCUUUAUAAAGUCGUCUCUUCUGUCUGUAUUUUCUUCUCACUGAAUCAAUCCUGUCACAUUUUAUUAAGCUGCAGUUUGUGGUUGUUUUGUGUCUGUUUUCUUUAAUUUGGUAGAUGUCACUUUCACUCAGCCUCUUCUGCGCUGCAGUGCCAUCGAUCAAUAAAUAGUUUUCUGAACCGGGUUUUGUAACAGUUUGGAGCUUCCAGUUUUAUUAAGAGUUUCGUGGUUACUUCCUGAGAGUUUCAUCUUUAACACCAUGUGUGCACUUUUUACUAUUUCGGGCUAAAUUUCCAAACAUCCCGCGAACGAACACACUGACCAACAAUCAGUGCAUUGUGCUGCUUUUGUUAUCUCUUAUUUCUCUUAAACAGACCCUGCAAUCUUUCUCAGUCUUUUACCAAGAACAUUUAUUAAUGAUUGUGUGUUUCUGCUUGUCUGCAGCAUUUUUUUUUUUUUACUCUGAAGGCAAUCUGUUCCACAAUUUGGCACUUUUUUUUUUGACUCAGUUGCCCUUUGAUAGCUCACGUUCUUUUUUUUCCCUCCACAAAUUUUCCACCAAGCUGUUUCCUCCGUCUCUCAAUGCAUAAAAAAAAGAGAAACACCUUCACUGGAAAUGUGUCACCGGAGUCAUCCACCUGUCACUUUUUUCCGUUGUUUCUGAAUGACUUCGAUUCUUUGCACGGGUCGGUAAUCUUUUACCAUUCACGCCUCUGUGGCUUUUUCUGAGAAAUGGAGUUCAGCGACGCGGUAUCAUUACAAUCACUGUCACCUGCACCCUGCAGCUUUUUCUCUCCGACGGAGCCACUGGCCUCGCUGCUCCGGGUUAUUCUUCAUUUUCUCAUAAGUCACCUGUCUGGUUCACCUGAUACAGCAGAAACUCCACAUUCUGGGCUCCUCGCAUGCUCGGAUUACGGUUUGUGUGGAAGUGUGAGAGAGAUCAUCAUUAGAAGGUGGAACUCGCAAAAUGUAGACUUGCAGCCAUCUGGAGCCGCAUCCCUCCACAUGUUUUUAAAAGUGUGGGAAGCUGCGAGAACAUGUCACUGGUCGAUAUCAAAUCACUAAAUAUUUCAUCAAGUGCGCUCAGUCGUGGGUGUUUUUACAGUUAUUGUUUGAGUGGGUUUCCUUUUUUCAUUGUGGCCAAUUACUCUACCAUCACUGUCAUCUAAACUCAUUUACAUCAAUUCAUUUGUCAUGUUAAAUUUGUCUAAGCCGUGCAAUCUGUGUCCAACCCACGCUCAUGGAGUUUGACAAAAUGAAGCCAUAUGUCGAUGAUGUGGCACUGUUCAUAUGCAUUCAGCUUAGCGUUCUGUCAACCGAGCCGGCCGUGGGCAACAGCAGACGACGCAUCACAUCUCACCUCUCCUCCAUGUCUGCACUGUCAGAGUAAUGGUCUCCACAUUGCCUCGCGAAAAGCAUCAUGCCUGAUUGCCGCCACUCUCACAUCUGCUUCCUGGAACAGCGUCGGGGAAAUCUCCAAAGAGCUCCCAGCGGAGCGCGGGGCAUGUGUGCUCACAUAUGAGGCGAGAGUUUGAGACGGGGGCUUGCCGGCGUGGUUUAUUUUCAAAGGGUAGCGCUGAGAACGUGUUGAGAGGUUGAGGAGUUGAGAGAGCUCUCCGCGCUCUGGUUUGGGUUUCAGCUCACUGGGACACAGCUGGGGGGUUCGGGUUCGGAUUGGUUAGGGGGGGUCCAUGAGGAUUUUGUGUUUAGACAACAGCGCAAACAAGGCAGAAUAUUACUUUCAGUGUAGGCUUGCACAAUCAUUAGAGCAGGCCUAGAAAACUUGUGCACACUGUUUUGAUUCUAUCAUAUUUCAAGAAAAUUGGAUUCAUGUUCAUCUUUUUUUUUUUUACAUUCAGUCUCACGUGACAGGAAAAAAUGCAAACAACCAAACUGAACUCCAGCAGAACAGGGAAGUGCCAGAGCCGGCUAACUGUCCUAUCUGCAUGUUCAUUUCCCUAUUUCUCAGCAGAAGCAGCAACAUGUGUAGCGAUAGGCAUCACUCCGAAUGCACCACUUUGCAUUGAAAAAAAGGCCGCGGCGGUAUGAGAAAUGCACAGAGCUGGACCGCGUCGAAUUUGAAUAUUCAAAGUUACAACAUCUCUCUCUCGUUUUCUGGGGAUACAUCGUGUUUUUCAAGCUGCUGCGACAGCUUUGAAUGCAAAAUAAGAUGCAAAGAGGGACAUUUGCAUCGGCGGGACAGUUUCAACCGAGGCAGCAGAGGAACUCGGACACUUCAAAACAUGAAACUAAUCACAUUUAAAGAGCUUUUAUAAGAAUUAGAAGAACAUUAUUAAUCUCUGAAGGGAAAUUCAAUUGUCUGUUGUCUCACAUAAUAUAUCUCUAUAAGUUAUCUACUAUUUACACAAGAGUUAUAAAGUUUAAUGGAUGUUGGUACAAAAGAUCUUCUGAAUCUUUCUGUCCUGCAGCAAAGAGAGACGAGCCGUCCACCACCAUUAGCCCUUUUGUCCAUCAAGGUCCAUGUUCUUAAGAAUCGUCUCCACCUUCCUCAGUGUAGAUCUCUCAAAAAUGCUCUUUCUGAAAACCAAAUAUUGAACUGAAUGCCCUCGCUUGAGUCUUUUAAGUGAAUAACUUUCAGAAGAAAUAUUAGAAAGCAGACUCAUCCCUCACUAUAUUACAUAACUGCUUUGAAAAAUAACUCAAUUUUUUCACUUGUGCUUUAUUUUGUAACCUGGUGUUAAUGCAGAUCAUGAAAAUAUAGAAACUAAACACCGAGUUGUCUUGAUACUUUGCAGUUUUGUCAAGAAUCUGCAAAAUGUAUCAGCUUGUCCUCCGCUUUUCCAACUGAACCGCCUCCCCGAACAUAAUGCACGCUCACUAAAGUUGGAUGGUAUUUCUUCUUAAAGUUGUCAUCAUCUGGCACUCAGGACAAAUCAUCCCUUCUGCUUACAUUUUCUAUUCUUCAUUUUCCUCACUUUAACUUCUUUUAACUGUACUUUCUUUCUUUCUUAUUUUGCACCCACCUCCACAUUAAGCUGUGUCACACUAUACUGUACGUCUAAAAUGCAAAUAAGAGCGCAGACAGACGGCAUGUCUGGACUCUUAUUUAUUUAUUUAUUUCGCCUUAAACAAUUCUUACAGCUUCUCUGCGUUUUGCUGCAUUGUCUUACUGCCAAAACAGCGAGGCUGCCACAGACCGGGCUGCUGCAGCUUGUGUUUUUUCGAUCAGACUGGUGUGGACCUGGGAAGCAGAGCCGUGCCAUGUUGGAAUUCAGGUGCCAAGAAUAUAAUUUUCCCUUAAGUGCUUACAACUGUAAAAACCAAAGUUGAUUCCCCGCGACUGAAAGUAAUUACAGGCUGUUUAAAUUCGAGAAAAAGUCGGAGCUAUUUAGCUUUCUGCAAAACUCAGGACGCAUAAUUUGGCCUGUUUAAUAUCUGUUUUAUUUGAAUGUUUUAAUGUCGAAGUUGGUCAUUUAUGUUGGCUGUGUGCGAUUCCCCUGCAGGAAAUGCCACUGGCUGUGGUUAACCCAAAGACUAUAAAUUAUGAGAGAUAUUCUGGGCUUUCAUAUCAACAUUAAUAUAAAAACACAUGAUCUGGAAUUGGAUUUACUGUAAAAUCUCAGACCCUGACAUCUGCGUGCGGCUAAUCCUUCCAUAUUGAAAACUGUUUCUGCAUCAGCUUGUCUAAAUGAACGCCUGGCUGCUGCUUUGUCUUCACAUAGAGAUUAUUUCGGCCCACGGAUGAGCCAAGUGUGUCCGGUAUCUGUUGUGGCGUGGCGGGAGGGGGGGCUGCAGCCGGCCUGCAGGAGCGUGACGGUGCACCUGUCAGAGAGGAAGGCCUGGCUAAUCAAUGUAAGCUGGCCGCUGAGUUAACAUGUGUGCUGGGGAGACCCUCAGGCCAGGAGGGGAGGGGGAUGUUAGGGCAGGCGGGCAGGCCUGACCUAAAUUACUUCAAUAAAAAAAAAAAAGGAGGAUGUGGAUGGAGAAGUCCCGAGACCAUUCCCCCACCUUCUCGCCGCUCCUCGGGUCUUCCCCUUCCCCUCCACCCCGCUUCUUUUUCAGGCGUCAGAACAUUUACUCUGUUAUUGCUGUGAAAUCAUCCUGCUGUUGACAUAGCGAUUCCAUCCUUGCUCACGCUCGCUGACUCAUCUCUUCUGUGAAACCCGCCUUCCUGGGAAUUUCUGGGCCUGCCAUUGGCUCCCUUAAGUCUGAUAACGCAGUGAUAAGUAUUUUCCUGCUCUUUUCUCUCUCCGUCUCUUUAUUUAUCUCUCGCUCUCUUUUCACGUUGAGUCACUUUCUGGGAAAAAAACAAAGUUCGGCUCCGGAGAGAUUCAGUGGAAUACACGCUCUCCGGUUCUGUUGACGAAGGGUGAGGUUCAUCUUCUCCUCACCUCUGGAGGCAGGACCACACAGCGUGUGAAAAUCUGGCUCGCAGACACACCUCGGUUUCCGUGCAUGUUUCCCCGACUCAGAUAACCUCACACUGGAGAUGCACGAUCAUCUGCACUUUGUUGUCGAAGUAACUCGGGCCCUGCUUGUGUUUGUGCAUAACUCUUCAGGGUAAUAAUAAGUCACAGUAAAUGAAUGUGGUCAGCUGUGGUGCAGUCUAAACAAAAGGUUUGUCUAGAGUUCAGCUGCAUUAGCAUGUUAGCUCGGUCUGCCAAGUCAAAGGAAAGCUUUCAAUGAAUCUCACAUGUGGGUAAACCACCUUAUUUUUCUCUAUCCUCUUGAAAGCAUUGUGCCUCAUCCUCUUUUAAUCUAUCGACAGUUCCUGGAGGACUCCAAAUUUAGAAUACAAUAAACCCAACCUGACCAGAUCCAGCUCAGACUUGAUUUAAUGAACCGCCUUUGUGUUCCUGUGUGUUUAUAAUGACUUAUUUUGUUGGCUUGUACUCCAAAACGCUCUAUGUCUGUCAGGAACCACUCAGAGCGACCGUUGUUACUUUCCCGAGAGGUCAAACCUUUGAUUUACUUCACGGUUGGACUCGUUUGUAUGACAUCUUUGACAUAAAAGAAAAAGCUUUAUAAUAGAAAAGGGAGAAGAAUGAAUCCAAAGUAUUAUCAGAGAAAUUAAGAAGCCAACUAUCUGAGAUGGCUGGAAAAAGCAGAAAGCUAUUUUUGGUUCCCAGUGACACAAUCUCUGGACCGAUUGAUGCACUAGUUUCUCUCCCUCUUCAAGUAUCUCUGUUUUUUUUACGGAGCCAAUUUGCUUUUCCAAACCUCCUUUGAAAUAAUAAAAAAACUAGGAUUAACAUUUUUACAAAACAGGAUUGUCCUGACAGUCUGAUGCAACUUUGUCUGCAUUAAUCAGUUAAAAAGUCGAAUAAAAACACCGAAUUCCCUGCAUCCUCCUCCGAGUCUGCAUACAUGCGCACCAAUAAACUAAUCACUAUCUGAUAACUGGAGUUACCUGAUUACUCGAGCAGUCAUGCAAACAGAGUAAUCCAAUAUUCUUUAUCAGAUAGAGACAGAUAAAAAUCGCAUGAACACGCCAAAGUUUUUGCUCAACAGUCCAUUUUAUUUGGUGCGUGUUUGCAGUUUAUUCCAGUUCCUUUUAGUUCUUAUGAGGAAAGUGAACAAGCAGAAACAGAGAUUGAGGAGGAAGGAGAAGAAAUGUCCAAAAAAGGGGGAGAGGCAGGAGCACAUUAAAACACUAAACAAACUUUUUUCAUCUGGUUAAUUAUCUGUUAUUUUUCUGUUGUAUUUGUGGCAUAAACAUUAUUUGAAGAAUUAAUAUCAGAGUUUCUAAUUUCCGCUGAACUCAUUUUUCUGUCAUUUGACUUAACCGCAGAAACCUGACACUGAGGUAAAGAGUAUGUGUCAGCCAUGAAUGCUCUGGUGUAUGUCAAAAUAGAAAAGUCCAGACUCAUUUGGGGGCUUAAAGACCUGGUUGUUGUGGAUCCAAUAAAGAGGUUGGAUUCCUAAUGAGGCAGAGAGAAGAAGGUCUUAAGUGGUAAGAUGGAUCACAGACAACUUGAGCUUGUGUAGACAGCCCUUAUAAAUUGACUGUAAUCAGUUUAUAAUAUUGGCAAUAAUUCGGUAUUAACUUCCAUUAACAUUGAACAGAAAUGACAAAGAAAUAACUGGUAUUGAAGUUAGUUAGCAGACUGAAUGUGAAGUUAAAUGCUUGAUUUUACUUCGCCAUCCUCUGUUCAUACAUAUUCGUUGCUCCUUCAGUCGGCCUUACAUCAGAGUUUUUAUUCUCCCUCUCUAUCGCAGUCUUGUGAGUUGUGUCAGCUAACCAGAAACUCUUCACAAAGCUCAGAGUGGACAUGUGUGUAAAUCUAGGAAGAAAAACCAGGAAGAAAAAUGGAGUUACAUGUUUGUAUCUUGAUCCAGAUGAAAUCCAGAUGAAACUUAGGUCCAAAUGUGUGUGACUGGACCAAAACACCUGACUAGGGUUAGGGUGACCAUACGUCCUCUUUUACCCUGACAUGUCCUCUUUUUCGAGGCUGUCCGGCCUUGUCCUGGGGAGUUUAAGAAAUCUUUAAAAUGUCAAGGGUUUUGUAUGCGUGGACUGAGUUAGAAGCGCAUAAACGGCAUUUGUUCCGGCCCAAAAAAUCUCUAAAUUAACUGCGCACGUCUCUGUGACUCCGCCCCUGCGUAGUCGUGUCGUUGUUUGGGGGACUCAGAAUAUGGUCACCCUAACUGAGGUGUUUUUGAGGAGUCUUUUUAUCCCGAUCACUUUAUUUCCAUUUAGUAAUGGUCCAUGUAAACCUAGCUACUAACAAUAACAUGUAAGUAAGAAAAUACGUUUGCGUCGUGAUGUUGAGGACUCUUGUUGACGCGGUUACACCAUCCUUGAAUUCAUGGUGGUGUAUCUUUGGUUUGAGUUUUGGUUCCCAAGAAUAAAGUCAGUUAUCAAAUCUUUCGUGUUACAAUUACCACGAAAACAGCCCCGAUGUGAUGUGAAUGGCGAUCCGAUCCAAUGGCGAUAUUUUCUUGUUUUAAAAAGAGAAUCAGCCUUUACGUGGUUUAACUGUUAUCUUAAUUUGAAUGGAUCAUUAUGUAGAAAAACCAGAUCCACAGCCAGUCUAGACUUACAUAAACACAAGAAAUGAGGUGCUGCGUGCAGUAAUCAGUCUUUUCUACUGAUCUCUCCUUAAACAUCCGACAUUGAACAUGCAGAGAAGUGCGUACUGCCUACAGUACAGCUUGUCAAUGUGCUUCCACUUACAUCCAACCCCCUCCUCCCUUUUCUCUCCCCUCUCUCUCCAUAUCUUCUCACCCUCUUUCCCCCCUCCAGCAAGAGUUUGAAGUGGCGUUUUUAGGGGGAAGGCUUUGUUUCCUAAACGGGAUGCUUUUGUUGUGUCUAGGGUCUGUGCUUCAACGCGGCCUGGAUGCCGAGCUGAAACCUAAUAUAACUCUGAGCUCGCCACACCACAAGAGGCGGUUUUUGGGAUCCUCUUAGUGGCUUCUGGCGGCUUUAUUCUGGACCUUACGGGCUCCCCAUGAGGACAAUGUCUUCCCAUCAAGAGCCAUAGUUUGUUACCCCCUUUGGUGUAACUUUUCCUUAAAUAUAGCUGACUCUUAUUUUGUACUUUUUUCUUCGAUAACAUGUGAACUUUUCCAUUUGUUGUGACAGCAGUGACAGAAAAAGAGAAUUCUGGUCCAGAAAAAGUUUUUUUGUUUUCAGUUUGAUUUAAAGAUUCUGUCUGCACCGAUCUACAGCAAAAACGAAAACAGAGAAUUUCAGGGAACGAAUAACCACCAAAGUUGAAGUCACACUGUGAAAAUGAGCUCUUACUACAAGUGUUGUGUCAAGUCAGAUUUAUGUCUUUUCACCCUGUUAACCGAGAUUCAGCAAAACAGGGCAGAUAAGGACUUUAAGUCCAUGUUUACGAGGUCACGCCUUAAAUUAAACAAUACUUGAUGACGUGUUCCCAUCAUUCUCACAUUUAUAUCAUUACUCCGUAUCGCCUGGAAAUCUGCUUUGGUCACAAGAUUCAUCACACUGUAACAAACAGUUUCAAAUUGAAUUUCAAGGCAGAUCUUGUUGAUAAAAGGCUGAAUAUGGUUGUGAAAGCCAGCAGUUUAUCACAGUCACUUUUGAAAAACUCUAAAGACGAAAAUUCAACAUGUCUGUAAGUGAGGGUGACCAUAUUCUGAAUCCCCAAAAAGAGGACACGACUACACGGGGGCGGAGUCACAGAGUCGCACAAAGUUAAUUUUGAGAGUUUUUUGGGUCGGAUCGAGUGUCUUUUACGUGUUUCUAACUCAGUAAGUCCACAUGACACAAAAUUGAAACUUCCAUACAAAACUCAGACAUUUGAAGGAUUUCAUAAACUUCCACGGACAAGGCCGGACAGCCCCGCAAAAAAGGGGACAUGUCCGGGUAAGAGAGGACGUAUGGUCACCGUACUGUAAGUCGAAUACUGAUUUUUAUGUAUAAAUCAACUCAGGACUCGGUGCACUUUCUUGUUGGAAUAAAAGGAUCAAUAAACAUUUGAAAAAAAAUUAAAAAAUGUUGAAUUUUCUCCAGGAAUUCCAAUACUUCGGAAACAUGCAAUCAAAAUGAUUUUUUAAAUGUACAAAUAUGACAACGCAACAAAAAGUUUUACUCAAAAUUGUGUUUUAAAGCAGGUAGAUGAUAUGCAGAUAACUUUUCUUGUUAGCAGAUAGUUUAGAGAAAACCUCGAUUUAGAAACUGCAGAGUCACGACAUUGCAGGCUUACGGGCAAAACCCACAGGAUCCAGAAUGGCUCUGCUUUGCUCCGGCACGGCCGGCGGAUCAAAUCCACAAGCAUUAUAACCAAUGUGUGUCAUUCCACAGAAUUCAUGCGGCGCCCAGCUCCACUGCGGAUCGGCUCCUACAGGCGGAUCAGAUACGCAAGGCUUCUAUUUUUGCCGGAUGCCGGAGCACGGGGCAUCGAUUCAGUGCAGCGCAGCAUGAGCAGCAAUGGAAGUUGUAUGCGGUUACAGAGUAAAAUUUCAGGUUAAUUUUUUAAAUAAAAUAAAGUCAAUACGUUGAACUGUUCUCAACUUGAUAAAGAAAGUUAAAAAGCAGAGCAGUUCCGGAUCCUGUGGGUUUAGCCAGUUACACGGUUUUGUUAUUCUGUGGCGCAUAAAAAAAAAAGUUGGUUUGUAUAAAGACAAAAAAAUAAACUGAAUAAUAAAACUCACUCAGAAAUUUCUAUUGUGUAUCUUUUUGCUGUUGCCAAGUAGAAAUACCCUUAAACUCUUUAAAGCUCUUGUGAGAAAUUUGAGUCGACUGGCGGACGCUACUUACGUAUGAAUGAGACAGAAUAAGCAAAGCCAGAUUUGUCCACAGGGGGCGCCAAAGUCAAGGUUUAAGAAAGAACUCGAGGAAGAACAUCUAAUAACCUUAUUUUCAUAAAUUCAGAGCUAUUUAAAAUUCAUAAGCUGUACGAACUGAAAAUGGGAGUGAUUAUAGUUGAAGGUUGAAUGGAGACGUUUCUGUGUUUGUCUCGUUGCUCUUUUCACUAACAACUGCAGCUGAGCAGUCAAAGAGUUGACUCUGAGUCACCUUAUCAGCGACUGAAGCAUUUCUGCUGCAGCUCUCUCUGAACCUAUUAGGCCUCGACACACACUCACACACACACACACACACUCAGGAGGAGUAACAUGGGUCCCCUGGCCUGGCUGGGCUGUGGGUAGCUUGUAACCCAAGUGUUUUAUUAGCAACUGGUCCAACAAAGCUAAUUGCUUCCUGAGGGAGCCGCCUCCCUUCAGCCCGUGACUGAUUAACAGCCCACAUUAUGUGUCUCGACAACUUUGACAAUCUUUUUUUUUUUUUUUCUUUUUUGGUCACAAAACUUUUUAUUACGCUGCACUGCCACAAACCUCCAGUGUAAAUCUCCCCCCCAAAACUGGUUUCUCAUUGUGAAGCGGUGAAGUAUUCCUAACCUCGUUUUUCUUUUUUAAUCUGAUUUAAUUAUUUUCUGCAAUCAUGUUUUUAAAACACACUCCUCUGAGUCAUAUUCAGUAUGUGUAACACAUUUUUAAUAACAUUAGUCAGCUUGUUUUCUGUCAUUUUUGUCACCGGUGCUGAAUCAUCUUACACAUAAAUCGAUUUUUAACGAUGACAAUGUGUCACUUCAUCAAACCAGAAAAUGUGUUUGGUUUAACAAAAAAAAAAAUGCCAACGUCUUCAGCUCUCUUUCACAAUUCGAUUGAGAAAUUAGAUCAGAUCUGUGUCCUUUGUUGUAACUGCUUUGUUGUGGGAGAGCACAUAAAUAUUAGUUUGCCAUGUGUGUUUCUUGUUCGACAAACAAAUCUGGGUCAUUCACGUUCAAUCGAAAGAGUUUUUUGGCGGUAAUCAGAUUUGUCGUGCAUUUCUCUCUCAAACCUUUCAUCCCCCUGUCUCUGAAUAGAAUUAUUCCUUACUUUAAAACCACUUGUUCGAAUCCAUUAGCUGCUGCAGAUGUUAUGUUGUCUUCGAUUUCUUUGUGUGUAUUCAUGUGUGGGUUGAAACUUGUCAUAUUUAUGCGUGCGUGGAUAUGAUGUAAGCAUAUAUUAAUGGACUGAAACAUCAUCUGGUGUUUGACCUGUUCGCUCCCGAAAGGCAAAACUAAGAACAAGAUCUUCGGACAUUUUGAGUGGGUGGACAUCGGCUCUGAGAGUUCCCCUCGGUUUAUUUACUUUCUUUUAAAGUUGCAGAUAUUUAUGGAGAAAAAACAGCUUCUCAUCCUUCUCCGACUUUGUUCUCGAGGAUCUUAAUUACAAAUGCUGAAUCUUCUACAUGAAAAGCAGUCGCUGGUUUCCGGACUCGUCUUUGUUGCAUGCUCUUGUCUCAUACGUGUCUUUGAUGAUGCCAUUGGGAACUUUGAGCAGAUGGGUUUUCAAAAGGCUGGGUUCCCAAACAGGAUAUAGAUGAUGUGUAGGCCUGGUGCUCUCUGGAGCUGGGAUCAAAUGGUUGUUCUUCCACCCCCUGCUGCUCCCACCAUCUCUGCAGGGCGGGGCCCGGACGGAUGGUCUAAGGAAGAAGGAGGUCCUCCUCAAGUGUUUUAAGGUCACAUUUUCACACGUGCGGCAUCCCUAUCACUUCCUGUGAAUCAUCUGGAUGUCGUUAAUAUCUCCAGCUCACUCAUACAGUUUAUCCCUAAUAGCUGAGUCGAAUCCACAUUUGUGUUUCUUGGCAUCCAAAUCAACCUUUUCUCCGUUUUCUCCCCUUUUUUUGACCUCUGGAUGCAGAGCUCUUAAGCUGUUGUCACAAAUUUGAAUGGUUAAUUGAGGCCUUGAGAACAUGUUCGGUUUAAAAAAAUGCAUAUUUCUGGUUUUGGUUUGAAAGAAAAGCUCUUGUGUCCUCUCUGUCUGAAGUCCAGAGCCAACAUCAAGUGCACAAAUAUGUUUGGGACGUGGGUUUGUCUCAAACUGUCUCCUUUUUUAACAUGUAGAACUCUGCUGGAUCACCGGUAAUCCCACGUGACACCAUUAAUAUUGUUUACAGUUUCUGGGAAACUAUACUGUGCAUCUCUUUGGGAUGAAAAGUGCUCAAAAGCUUACCCUUUUGGCGAUCUAUCGAGGGUUUCCGGGCAUUUCUACACCCCCCCACAAGGUUUACAAUCUAGCCACAAAAAGAGUGUUUGAUCGAAGAUGUUUGGUGGUAAAUUCGCAGCGAUUUAUCGGUGAAAACAUGAUUAUUUAUCAUAUUGUUGUGAUAAGAUCGCUAUCGCUAAAUGCCGCUAAUGUCUUCCGGGUUUGACUGUCAAACUUUCGACCAAUUCUCAUACUCUUCUUGUGUCCAAUAAGAGGCAACCAAAGAUCAACAAGAGACGAGAAUGUUACCUGCUUGUCUGCAAAAUAAGAAAUAAUGGUCCUCAAUGCUUGGAAACAAGCAAAGAAGAGAUUCUGAGCAGUAUGAUGUGGUCCUCGGUCUCAUCCCAGACAGGAACUGCUUCAAGGAGUGGCAAAAAAAACUGUAAAUAGUAAAAAAAACGCCUGGAAGAAUUAGUGUAAAUAUGUCAAUAGUUUCCGUUGUGUGUUUGUUAGAAUCCCAAUAUUUCUUCUCCUAAUAGCCAAGACUUGAGAGAAUGAUGUGCAGGUGAGGUUUGGUCACUGUAGAUUUAUGUGUUUUUUAAGCAAAGUACUGUUGGUAUCAAUUUCCGUUUUAGUUUUUUGGUGGACUUUGAUGGUUCUGAAUCUACUUUCACAUUCAUGUUACUUAAUUUUUGCACCCAUAAAGUGACAGCUGAGGUUGUCCUGAAAAAAAUGAUGUGUAUAUAAAAAUAUAGCUGGUGGAGUUCUAAGGGUUAACAUGUUUCAGCCAUGAAUGUGUCUCAAACGGACUUCUCUGAUGGAUCUGUCCUUUGCAGCGCUCCCACAUCUGCAGUAGUUAUUGAAAUGUGAAACCAAUAUAUGCGAGGAUGUGCAGUCCAGACGUCCCAAUUGACUGUUUUACACAAUUGUGAUACCAGCUGUAAGAUCCCAACUCCAGGGUUCGAGGUACCUGAAGAUGGCGAAUUUUAUCAGACGGAUUAUUCUCUCUAAUGUCGCCAAGCAUUUGGAGUAUGGUUGAUAGGAGGGCUGCGGAGCCCAGACUGAGGAGGAGGAGGAGGAGUCAUUUUCGCAUUAGCAGAAUCGCAUUUCGAGAAAGAAGCAGCAUUCCAGGAGCUCUUUAUUUGAUUAGCUAUAAUGUCAUAAAUGCAAGAAUGUACUGCGAUAAAUGGCAAAAGUAGCUGAUGAAUUAGUUAUCCCCGUCAGCAAAUACCCACGCUAGCUCACCCUCCCCAUCCUCGUCCCACGGGCCACAUUGCCUCUUCAAUCUGCAAUAUGGAGCAUAAUUAUACUAAUUUCUCUCAAUUGCAUUAGCGAGGGCCUGGAGAGAAAGAAUGGCCGUCUUUCUAAGCCAGAGCCUGGACUAUGCAGUCAGCCUCCCUGCACCUCAGAGAGCAAGUACAGGGGGAGGCAACAUGACCCCUGCUCAGCCCCUCACCCACCCCUCUUCAUUUGACUGCACUCCUCUCUCCUUCCUCAUUCCCUCCAGCUUAUUGUCCCUCUUUUCUCAUUCCGUAUCGGCCUCCUACGCCAAGUCCUUCAUCAGAUGCAGACUGAAACAUACAGAAAACUCUCUCAGAGAUUGUGGAUUGGAGAAAAUCUCAUUUUUGGCUCUACCUCUGAAACAGUAUUAAAGAUUGAUUUUCUCUUUAACCGGCCUAAAUGUUCUGCACAUAGGCUCCUGAAUUCACACACCAAACUCUGACCCAGAUGUCAAGCAGUAUAGAUAAGUUGAAGUAAGCUGGGUAAACUACAUCAGGGCAGAAGGAGUUAAAAAAGCGAAGCUGUCACACUGUACUUGUACUUGAAUUUGACCCUAAUUCUACACCUAGCCGACAGCUUCAUUUCGCUUAUUUAGACCUCCAUUAGCUUUGGCUAAGGCCAUUGCUAUUCUUCCUGGAGUCUACAUUUACAAUUGAACCUCCAUUGCAGUGCACGCUCACAAAAAAACAUCACGCCACAUACACAAAGACAAUGUUGAUAACCACAACACUCACAACAAGACAAAAACAAAACAACAAAACUAGAAUAAUACAAACAACAUACACAUAUUACUGGACCUGAUACAUUUCAACAGUGAAGCUAUAGUGCCGAAAUAAUCAGGUGUUCAAAUAUCAACUUACAUUCUACAUAAUUGAAUUCAUUUACCGAAACAGUACCCAAUACUAGGGCCCGACCGAUUUAUCAGCGAGACGAUUAAAUCAGCCAAUUUUAGCCCGUUUGAGACUAAUCACUAAUCGGCCAAAACUCGCCGAUUGUCGCCGAUAAAUCCGUUAAGUUACAGUUCAACCCACUUCACAAUGUUCCCCGCUGUGCUGGUAUCGGUCACGCCGAGCUAACGGUGAAGCACCAUGUAAUAUGCAAGCUAAAGUUAGAGUUAGCCAUCUGCUAUUAGCCUGCUGUUGGAGUUAAAAUAAAUAGCCAGGGGUUGUUUUAGCAAUAAAAAGGAUUUGAAAUGAGUUUUCUGCCUUAAAUUCUUUGAAGAAGUGUUUGAAAAGCUUAAAAGCAGCCAUUUGUUAAAAAAAAGUACAUAUGAUAGAUAUAUUACUUAAAUCAACAAAGUUUUAAAACUUUAUAAGAAAUUUUAAAAAUUCGCUGAUUAAUCUGUAAUCGCCCCCCCCCCCCCAAUAAUUGGUAUUGGCAUUGGCCCCAAAAAAUCCAUAUCGGUCUACAUAAGCAGACUUGCGAUAUUUCAAGUAGCUCAGACAAACACUGAUUUGAUUGUACAAAGUAGCGUCAUCUAAAUUAGGAGCUGUUUGACCAGUAAAUGUUCUUAAACUAGAUCUUUAAAUCUGUAUUUGUUGUGUUCUUGGAUGUCCUGGCAGAGCAUUCUGUAUCACCAUGGUCCUUUACAUUACCGUACUUUUCAUUUUGUUUGUUUUUACUUUGGGUGAGGUGAAUUUACCCUCCGUAGCAUGUCUUGUUCUGUAACAACGAUCAUGAAGAACCUUUGGAAAUUUCGUCACAGAUAGUCUUUUCAUGAAAGCUGCUAAUGAGGCGGUACAUCUGUUCUUUAUGUAAAAGCAGGCAAGACAGUUGUGCAUUUUACUCACAUUGGUUUUGUACGGACAACGAAGUAAAUAUUGUGCUGCCUUGUUCUGAGCUAUUUGCAGUUUCUUUUUAAGUGAUGAAGCAGCACACGACCGAACCCCUGAACAAUAAUCGAUAAUCAAGUGUUUUACAAGAUAAAGAUAUUAUAUUUUAUAACCCACUUCUAUAAACAACAAUUUCCUCUUCUCCGUUUCCUCCCUGGUUCUCCAUGACCAGGUCACAUCGUACCAACCCGGUGGCUGAGGGACUCUGGGGGACUGCAGGGUGCUGCUAGUGGGAACACGGCCUCAGUUAUGAAAGACGCCAUUGUCCGGCUGGGCUCGCCAACAUAGAAAAUGAAUAAAUCAAAGAGGAGAGAUCAAGAGUGGAGGAGAAAAGGAGGGGAUGGAGGGACCGGGAGACUAUCUGACAUCUGCAUUUGUAACCGGGUAUUUAGCUCUGGAGGAAUGUUGUUAUCAUCCACCCUCAAACGCUGCGAUGGUGAAGGAUUUUGCAUUGAAUUCUAUUAUCUGAUCGCAUCUACGUGUCCUGUCUGCCUCUGCAAACACACUGUGAAGUUUGAUCAUAGAAACACUUGUUUUUGUCAUUCAGGCCAGAAAAAUAGUUCAAUUGAAUCUGUUAUAUCACGCUAUUUUAGCCAAUCACGUGUCCAUCUGGGUUGUUAAAGCGGGUAUUUUGGAUGGACACGUCUCUAUUUCUGUUAAUUAGGUUCAUAGAUUUGCUUUAGAUUUCUCUCUUCAAACGACAUUCAUCACUGAUGUUUCAUUAUCUGGUUAAACUGAGGCUUACGGUGAAUCUUGUUUACGUGUUAGCGCCCCGACCACAAAUAGAAAGACAAGACGUGCAUUCAUUCUUCGAAAAUCCUGCAAAUACAGUCUUUUGGCAAUCAAAUGAAGAUUAAAAUAAAAAGGGGGACUUUCCUGUCAAAUGAUUCAAGCACUGACUCAGACGCAAAGAUGGUUUUGAGAUUCAACUUAUGAGCUCUUUAUGGAAACUGGUAUUUGCAGGAUUUCAGUUCUUGUGAUCAGCUCUGACUCAGAAGCUCAAAUGCGUUGCAAGAUAAGGUGUCAGAAAGAUGAAGAUGUUGUACCGUGUCUGCAAAGUUGUUGGUGUUUUCAUCGAGUAUGACAUACAACUCAUUAGCCUCUAAUCGAUCAGGGGAGCAGUGUUGGGGUAACGCACUACAAAGUAACCGAUUACAGUCACGAUAUUACUUUUUGGGGGUAACGAAGUAAAGUAGCGCACUCCAGCAAAAACGGUAACUUACUUACUUUACUAAAUAAUAGGAACGUGCCUUUCUGCAUUACAUCAGCUGUGUUUCCCUGUGUGCAAAGUUCUGAUCUGUUUAAGUGUUUCUUGUUUUUCUUGAUAUCGAGCCUUUGGACCAUCGUCCAAGCUUGUCUCCGUACGCUCUGACAGUCUUUUUUUCCGUGGGACUCAUUUUUGGGGGUUGUCGUUUUCUCACUGUGUCGUUAUCUUGCAGCCUCUUUGUCGAAUGUAAACAAAAAGUUGCCCGUGGAGAUGGUGCUUUCCGACCCAACGUGCAUUGCAAAAUCAUGUGACAUUUAAAAUAAAAAGACCAGAUUUCGUAGUGAAAUCCGAGGAAAACUGUUGUUCGGGACUGCGUGCUACAUGCUUACUCUUGCUUCCUACUUACUCGGCUACCGUUGUAACCGUUGUUCUAGUCUACACGCAACAUUUUUUUUCUCAAUCAUGAACCACUUAAAUCUGGGACAUUCCAGAGGACAGCUUUAGCCGGGGACAGGUCAUCCAAAACGGGGACGUCUGGACACCUUAAUUUGGAAAUCCUAUGGAGAGAUUGAUUUGAGUGACGUAGCUGCUGAUAUGAAAGAGAGAUGGAGAUGGAGACAGAGACUGAGGCAGAUGGAGAUGGUCUUUUCGUUAGAAGAUGUUUCCGUAAGCUUGUGUUUUAAAACUUGUAUGUUGCUACCUUAUAUCUUUCUUUAUCUUGUUGUGUGACAGUGAGCUAUUGUGUUCUUCUGUAUGGUUUUUCACGCCAUGUUAUACAAUCGGAUCGAGUGUCUUUUACGCACUUCUAACUCAGUAAGUCCACGUGACACAAACUCCAAACUUCCGUACAAAAUCGCGGACAUUUGAAAGAUUUUAUAAACUUCCACAGACAAAGCCGAACAAGCCCAGACAGCCCCCAAAAAAGAGGACACGUCCAGGCAAAAGAGGACGUAUGGUCACCCUGAGUAAAGUAAUCUCAUUGCAAUUUACAGAAGUAACUAGCUACUAGUACUAGUUACUAGUUACUACCCCAACACUGCUGGAAAGUUUGCAAAACCUGAUCAACCAUCCUCUGCUUGACCUCUGCUCAUUUGAAGCCGCUGCAGACUGGUUUACUGCUGGAUCCCAGAGACAGCAUGACAGCAGCUGGCUCUCCGAGUCAGUUUAACACAGUGGCACUUCGUUGCUGCCUCCCAUCCCAGGUGUGUGUGCGUCUGUGUGUGUGCGUCUGUGCCUAAAUGGUGUCCGCACAAUGGCCGCCCUGUGUGACCCUGUGCAUCUGUGUCUCCUCGGACAAGCUCCUCUGUCCUACUGGCUGUGCAGUCCUCUCUUCAGUGUUGACAGCACGCUACAGGUGCCCAACACAUCUGGCCCUUCACAUGACCUAACACGCGCACGCACGCUCACACACACACAUAUCUUACAUCUGCUCAGGCGCUGAUAAGCUAAAUUAAGCUAAAACCCUCAAAGGAGUGUGCUAACAGAAUCAGCAGGAACAUAAACUGCCUUCAGUUGCUACUUUAAGAAGUGAGAGAAGUUUUUUCUCCCUCUCUCUCUCUGCAGGGCCACAAAUGCCUUCAUUAUUUGACCAGGCCACAAGUUCAUGACCAGACCUCCAGUCAUUAAUGAAAGUCUGUGUUUGGGGCGGGAUUCUGAACAGUCAUCACACUGUUUUUUCAUCUAACACCCCCCCUCCAACAUCUUUCAGUACCAAACACAUCCUGCACAUAAUCAUCGCUCUGUCCCACUGCAACCUCUGUUUGCUAACUCUGGACAAGCGAAAAAGUUUGCUUGAAAGGAUCCAUUUAGAGUCAUUUUUCUAAGCUGAAGGAACAUUUGUCGUCCGCUUUGCUAUCUUUUGAGACACAGUGCGAGCACGCGGUCGUGAUUUUGCAUCAGCUCGCGGCCUCACAAAAAAGAGAGAGAAACCAUGAGAGGCCGGUUGUAGGCGAAGAAGCUAUGCAAAUAAAUCAGCCAGUCAGUUAGAAACAAACCAACAAUGAGGUCAUCUGGCUUGGGUUGCACUUCUGGCAGGCAAGAAACACGCUGCGUGCAAAAGCGAGCCAAAGGUUAGCCAGUUAGCAGGUGCACUUCCUCCUUUACCUGGCUGCAUAUUUGCAUGAGCGUCCAAGGAGGAACCAUCAUGUAUCACCUGUCAUACAGAUCAGCCGAGCACACGUUUGGGUUAAAGUAUCUUCCUCAUUCACCUGAGAGACUGAUCCCUCGUGUGUUUUUAGUCAAACCGCUCCCAAAGGUAUCCUUUUCUUCGACUUACUCGAAGGACAAACACCUUUAAUGAACUCUGCGCUGAAGCAUCAGUUACAGAAUCGAGCUUCCUGACUGAGCUGGAUUUCCUCCCAGUGUGUGUGUGUGUGUGUGUGUGUGUGUUUGUGUGUGUUAUUACAGCUCCAGGUCCACCAGGUCAGGUCACAGGACAUGACAGUUGGCCGGUGGAGAGCAGCCUCCAGGCUAAUGUACGUCCCCUCCCCCACUCGCCCACCUCUCUUUCUCUCUGGGUGGCCCGUGUUUACGAGCUCCAGGAGCAGGUCAUCGCUGCGCGGAGAACACGGCUGCUGCACGGGGGACUGUUGCUGGGUCAGCUCUGGAGCAGCAACCAGGAAUUUUCUCCUCGCCGUGUGUGUCUUUACGCGUUCGCUCAUCGCUCAGUGUGUGCGUGGAUUCGGACUUCCUGUGUGCAGCAGUGCGGGGGAGCAGAAAUGGGGGUGAGGUGACCCUCGACCUCGACCACAUGUCCUGGUCUGCCGGCUGAUCACCCACACUUCCGCAUGCGGGGCCUCUCGACUCCUCUCCUGGGGUCUGAGAAGAUCUCCGCCUUUAUCACCGCUGUUGUCAUGUUUCAGCGUUUUCCUCAUCUGCAUCGUCUCCUCUGUGUUUUCGAUUCGCAGCUUUUGUCUGGCUUUAUUUGAAAUUCUGGUUCCAAGUUCAGAAACACGCUCGAGAAGCUGUUCGCCAAAAUGUUUGUGCAGAUUGUUUCAGAGCUAAAAAAGUCAACUUUCUCAGUAAAUGAUUUAUAUUUGUGAGUGUGAACCAACACCUUGGUUACAUAUGCACAAACCUAGUGUGGGUGAGACUAUAACACUAUCACUAUCAGGGACCAGCGAAGCUAUAGUUCCACUCCACUGAAAAAAUUCCCAUGAGUGGAACUGAAAUGUGGAUUUUUUUCUUUUACUUUUUGUUCAAAGAAAAAAAUAAAGAUGAAUAUUCAAUCAUUAUUUGACAUCUUCCUAAAAACCAACCAGAGCAUUAGUCUCGUGUGUGGUUGGUCCCCUUGGCAGCAGUCAUCUGACAUAUCAUGGUUUGGCUUCGCUCAGAGGCACACUGUCAACACCAGUCCUACUCACUGGAGCACGUGGCCAACAAACAUUAAAUCAGUGCUUUUUCACACCCAUUCAACAAGCUUUAUCUGGAGAUAAGAUAAUGUUGAAUGUUUAACUGGUGUAUAACCACUUAUCUGGAGCAAUGAGUAACCAGCAAAGGUUUGUGGAUGCUUAUCUCCACGAAGCAAACCAAUUUGACUUCCUCUUAUAAUCUCAGAUUUAGCCAAUCUGAACAUAUUCUGUUAAAUUUGAACUAUUUUUUUAGUGUUUUUUUAACCUCUGAACCAGUCAGCAGUUUGGGAUUCACAUUCCAGUUGAAAUGACUGUAAAACUGGACUUCAUUUAAAGACCCGCUCCGUUGAAAAUCAUGUUUUUCUUGUUGUCUACAUGUUCGUAUGGCAUUUUUCUGAUGCUACAGGACAUAUCAAUGGGGUUAGGUUAAUUGGCCACUUCCAAACUGCCCAUAGGUGUGAAUGUGAUGAUGAACUGGCGACUUGUCCAGGGUGUCCCCUGGCUUUGCCGGAAGAUGCUGGGAUAGGCUCCAGCCCCCCCACGACCCCGGGAACAGGAAUGAGCGAUAGAAAAUGGAUGAAUGGAUGGAUGGAUGGAUGGAUGGAUGGAUACAGGACAUAUCAUGAGAUUCAAAUCACUGUGAAUCUCUGGCAGACCCAAACGGCAGGUUCAGAUGUAGUGGGAUUUCCUACGUCACGACUGCAAGCUCCACCCCCAGAGCCCCGCUAUGCAGGCCAGACUCAGAAAAGUAGAGAGAAUGAUCGCAGAACAAGCGUGUGAGUUAGCGAUAGCAAUGAGCUGAGUAGCUUCUAUGUUGUCUGCUACUUCUACUACAUCAGCGAUGUUAGGCUACAAGCUAGUGUGCAGAGCAGCGCUGACUCCGCCCACAACUCAGAGGCAAAUUGCUAAUUAGCUACUAGAGCUCUGCAGAAGAAAAGGCCUUGAAAAUGACACAGGUUACACGAUUUUGGCGAAAGACUUCAAAAUCAAAGUUUAAAGACCCCUGAAAACACUUUAAGUGGUUAAAAAAAAAAGAUCGGAGUGGGACUUUAAAUCAGAUUAGAAUUGAUCUAUCCCUAAUACACUUGUCAUACUGUUGCUGAGGGUUAUGACUGACAUCUAUACUUAUUUAAUGUAAUAAAAUUAUAAUAAAAUGCUGUGUAGUCUAAAGGAGAUGGUCCAAACUUUCCUUGGUUUACGGCUGUCAUCAGUUCAUCAUAACACCACUUCUAUUUCUGAGCCGCCAAAAUCAAAGCCCUCAAAUGCCAAACUUGAGUGGAAACUGAAGUUUACAGAUCACUCUCCCUUUAACGUGACCAAACACUUAAUAAUAUCAUACAUCGCUCAUAAACUAUUGAGGGUUGCAGAAAGAGAUGUUUUUAUUUCCACAGUGAAAUACCUUUAAAUGAACACAACCCAACAUUUCCCUACAAAACAAAAACAGAUAACUUCAUUUCUUUUACUUCGCGUAAUUUUGUAUGUUUUUGUAAGUUUCUCGCUCUGCAGCCCACCAUGAAUACCAUGAAGACUGGUGACCUUUUAACCCCCCCAGCCUCCCUGGGAACACCAUCAUUCCUGUCCUCUCACUCACAGAGUCCCCGUCACUGGCCCAGGGCAAACCCUCCACAAGGCCUCCUUUGACGGAGCCUAAUGAGAAGACUGUGGUACGGGAUUGCGACCGUCGUGGAGAGGUUCGCUUCCUUUACUGCGCUCCUUAUCGGCCUGUGUAUCGAAAAUUAUUCAAUUAUAUACAUCUCCUCUUCUCGAAGAUUACGUCCUCUCCCGGUUUUUGCACACUAUCCUACUAAUGGGGUUAAAUACAGUUAAAUUGCAUAAUCGCAGAGGCUGAUAAAGGGGCUAGUAUGUGUGUUGGCAUGCUCUCGUCUCCAGGAUUUCGAUUCCUGUAAUUAAAUGUAAGGGUCUGCGUUUUUGUUUAUUGGAUUUAUUUUGCCUGAUUGGCCCUGGCAUUGACUGAUGGGCGAGACAGAGGUGGUGGUGUGUCGGCGGAGACAGAGAGGGGUCUGGUAUGAUGUGUAUGCUCGCAAUCCUGUUGCUGCAAUUCGCCCCUGAAGUCAAAGGUCAAUAAAGAUGUUAUCAAUCACGAAGCCUGCCUUUCCCUCACUGUUGUAUUUUAACUAAACACUAAAGGUUUCAUUGCUCUCUCGCCUUAAUCAGGGCUCCUUAUGUGCAAAUCCGGCAUUAGUCUAGUGUGUGUGUGUUUUCAGUGGCAUCGGCUGUGUUUAUUUGGUCAGGGGUGUCAGACAGAUUAGCUAGUGUGUUACAGGUGCUAUAAAAGUUGUAGCUUUGGACACGGCUCAUGAACAGUAUAAUGAGGCUGGGCUCAGGUUAAUCUCACCCUGCCUGGCUCUGUCUUUGAGUUACUGGCCUGCUUUAGCUGCCGGGCAGGGCUCGGGGCUAACAGGCGAGCAGAGACGACGCAGAGAGGAGCGUAGCGUUCCAGCAGUACGCCUACAGGCAGAGGCCGGGAAGCAGGCCAGAGACGGAGAGAGGGAAGAGAAAUGCAUUUGUGACCAAAACGGUGUUGAAAUCUUAUCAAAGAGAAAUUCUUUCACAAUGAUUUUCUUCCUUUUUUUAUUCGCCCUACUGCCAUUUCGUCUUCAGGUGUUCAACCCCGAUUCAAAAAGAGUUAAGACGCUGAAAUAUGCACGCUCUUUCCUGAAAACGACCCCGUCUGGAUAUUGAUCCGCAGCCUAUUUAUAGUCUGGUGUUAAUGCUGCUUUCCCAGAUGUGUUACGGGGGCUUGUGCUUUUUAAACAGUGUGGUCUCUUCGCUCUUAAACCGCCUUUCAGUCACAAGUUUGAGGAUUAGAAAGGAAGGACACUCAGAUUUGCAAAUGCAGCAAAGAACUGCGCUCACAAACAAUCAUGAUUUUAAGACUAUGCAGUGACUUCUACUACAGAGCCAUGACUCUUUUUCAGUAGUGCUGCCUGAAGUCCCUUUUGUGCAGAGAUACCUUAUUUUUCGGGCAAUAUAGCACACCUGAUUAUACGGCACACUGUGAAUUAACGUGUCUAUGUUCACACAUAAGGCGUACCGGAUUGUAAGGCGAAUUAAGCAGUAAUUGGUUUAUUGUUGCUAGUGUGUACUCCAGGACCGGGCCGCCUUACCCCGAAUUUCCACCGCAUCUGGAACAGUUACGAAAAGACCGUAUUCGCUGAUCGUAACCAUUCAAGUUACUUUGUCAAUUUCCACCCGCUUCUUUCCGUUCCACAGCUGAUCGCAAGAGUUCUAUUUUUUCUGGAUGCCAGGGCAUGUCGGAUAAAUUCAACACAGAUUGACCAGUGCUGUAAAGGAAGUCUGGCACAGACACAAAAAAAGACAUCCGGCUUCUUUUCAAAAUAAAACACUCUGUGGUUCAGGCAGCUCGUAUUUCACAGCAUGUUCCGGGACGAACAAGUGAAAGGUUUAUAGUCAGCAUUUCAUCCUGAUGACACCAUGGAUGAGAAGAUGCUGAUUCUAGAAGUCUAGAAGUAGAUUUCCUCCUCUGUAAGGACACAAUCUUCUGCUUAUAUGUUUAACCUAUGUGGCUAAAGACAACUAUCAUCAGGCGAUUUCACGUGAAUCUGUGGUUCUUGUGAGUUCUUGCCAUUCCUGCUGUCCGUAAUCUGCCAUGAAAUUUGCCUCACAAACGGAUCCGAUAGGAAUUGGCGUAGAGAGAAAAUUACUGCCGUUCCGGAUUGGAGCCAUUCCAGAUGCGGUGGAAAUCCGGGGUUACAUGAUUGCACUUCUAAUUUAGACAUUACAGUCAGGCAGUCUUGUAGACCGCUCAGGGGUCCUGUUACGGAACUGAUCAGGUAGUGACACAGCAUACUGUAAUCUCUGAAUAUCCAUUGAGCAGAGCAGCUUCGUUGCUUACUGAAGUCGUACUUACACAUUUCGACAGAUUAUUGAAUGCAUUGUACCACAUAAAAUCGGUAAUCAUACAUGAGGCGCACUGUCAAUUUUUGAGAAAAUUUAAGGAUUUGAAGUGCACCUUAUAGUCUAAAAAAUAUUGUAUAUGAUGAUAUUAUUCACUGUCAAAAAUAUUAGGUUUAUGCUCACAGGCAUCAUCCUGGAAAUCUCUUUUACAGAAUGGAGAAUCUCUUUUUCUUCGCCUCUCUUCGGUGCCCCUUUUUAUACAUGUUGCUAACCUGUUGCAAAUUAGAGGGACGGUCUUCCAGCUUUUUAUCAUUAAAAUUUUUUAAAUGUCUCGCUCACACCGAAUUCAUAAUAAGUAUCAUCUUUUCACCAACAAUCCCAUUUUUCAGUGUUCUUGAUCGAUGCGCGUUUGCACUAUUUUUAGUUGAAUAAAAGGGUUUAAACGAUUAGCAAAUUCUGUUUUUAUACAACGCUCCAACUCUUAUGAAACUGAGGCUGUAUUUGGAUCAAGAGAUGAGAGGGAAGAUUGAAUGCAGAGCAGAGAGGAGUCAAGGAUACGCAGGAUUAGGAGAGAAAAUAGUGAUGGAAAGGCACUCAGUGUGCUCUCCUCAGAGGAGGUUAGUGUGCUGUGGAGGCCAUGCUGUUUAUCUUAUUGGCCUUAAGGGGAAAGAACAUUUGUUCUGGAUACAGUGAACCGCAUAGUCUGUGUUUUAUUUGCACAUGAUUCUCGGCUCUUUGAAUGAGCAUCAUGAGUCACAGAUCUUUGUCUCUGACUGUCACACCAGUUUGCUGGUGCAUUUGUUUUUGCCCAAACCUGUCGCUUCUCCUUACACACAUGAUCUGUUUGAGCUGAUGUUCUCUGUUACCAAUCCACGAGCCUAUUCCUGUUUUUUUUGUCCAAUUUAAAAACUUUAAUUAAGUACAACAUGCAUUUGAGAAAACUCAAACUUCCUCGCUUGGACGGCUGCCAAGCUGUCAGACAUGGCUCUCUUAUGAGGUAGUGCGUUGGCGCGGGCGGCAGACAUGCUGAAAACUCAGGUGCAGUUUUUGAGCCGCGGUGUUAACGAGGCUCUACGCUGGUGUAAUCGGAGUAAUUGUUUAUUACAGACCUCAACCUAUAGUAUAUGUAAUUACUUUUGGGUUGCCCUCGCCCUGUAAAAUUCACUUUUGUUUCCUGUCUGGGUGCCUAACACCACAGUCUAAGCUCCUCCUCCAAAAAAGUGUAUUUUACUGCCCCGUUUGAAUGAUAUUACAUAUAAUUGUGUAUUUUUUUUUUCCGUCUGUGAGCAGCACAGUUGUAAAAUACAUACAUUUUCUAUUUAGGAUCAUUAGAGCUUUGAUGGUGCAGAGCUAUUCCUCAGUGACACUCCAUCGCCUGCGCCCAUAAAAUUCUCAGUGCCAAGCCGGUGGGGGAGGACUUUAAGUGUUGCGCAGUGCUCUUAUAGCCACUUCCUUAAUCAGACGGCCGGACAAAUUGUAAUCAUUAGCAAUGUGGUGAGCAUGACAUAGGUCUCCAAACUCGUUAGAGUGAGUUAGCAGCAGUGGGGAGAGAUUAAGGGAGGAAGAGAGGGAGGAGGAGGAGGAGGAAGGUGCUGUCACACACUCACCUGGGUCUGUUUGCAAUCAGGCGGUUCAAUUAGGGCCCUAGCUAAGCUCUGCAGCAGCAGCUCCGCUUACGUCAUGGAUGCGAGAAGUCCUCCAACAUAAGCAUGUGCACACAGUCAGACAUGCACGCCAUUAUCCCCGUGUAGAGUUAGAACAAUAAAACGCAUGCGCACAUGAUCUCAGCAGGGCACAGAUACAGCUCACACUCUUGAGUCACUGCUGUCCGUCUGUGCCAUGUGAGCCUCUGUUAGUGCAAGAAAGAGCAGUGAAAACUCAAACCAAGACUAUCACCAUAUCACGUCUUCACCUCCUGAUUACUGUGGCGAAAAGAGUAAUAUCACAAGACGGAUAUUUAGGGAAAAGUUCGACAACUGUAUCGAAGGUGCAGGCUUCAGUAUAGGCUCAAUUUUCAUUGGCAGCUCAGUUUCGAACAUGAGGUACCUUUAAUUAUUUUGGCCUCACUCUCUUUCUUUCAAUCCCUGCCCCUUUAAGAGCCCAUUUGUCAUCUGUUCCUGUUCAUCUAUUUCAUGAAAUAACAAAUAAAUAGUGAAGAAAUCUCAAACACUGACAUUAUCUUCAGUCAAUCUGCCUGUUAAUGUAACCGAGGAGCCAAAACGCUUAAUGACUAAAGCUGAGAAUGCUUCGCACAAUGACACAUACGUUGGCACACGCUCAGACGAAAACCUCCGAACACGCUGACGGACACACUGUAAAAAAAAAAUAAUAAUAAAAAAUACACACCACAAACACACACUAGUACUGUACACAAAAGCAGCAAGUGUGCACCUCCACACAGCUGCACAUGCUUGAGCAAAGCUAGCAUCUGUCCCAGAAACAUCCGUCAGUGCCUCCACAUCUGUGUGCUCCAGCUCAAGCCUUUUGCUCCGGGCCCCCCACACCCCGCACACGUUCCCCACGACUGGGCUUGGCCCCGUGCCACCCCGUUCCUAGUCCUCCAGCUGAGUGAUACAUGCGCUAACCUCAGACAGCUAUACAGUCCUGUAGCCAAUUUAGAGUAUCCCUUCAGGGAACGUGAUACGGUGGGUUUUAUUUGAAAUGUCCUUUUUGAUUGAGGGGGAGACGUGGCACACUUACCAUAAUGGCACCUCUAAUGGGCCUAAUGUGGAAUGUCUCUUCACGGUAACACAUGUUCAAAGCCUUUCUGGCAUGCUCACUGGAGCAGCAAAUGCUGACCCGCAAACUGUAUCGCUCAUCCGACUGAGACGUGACUUCUCUUUGUAACUUUACAGGCGAACAUCAGCUCAGAGACAUCAUCGAUGCUGGCAGUUGAAAGCUUCGCUUACAGACGGUGACGACACGACAUUUUGCCGUCGAAGGGCAGAUCGAAGAGAGUUAUUUGAACCCUGAUUUACCCCCACUACAGUUUCAGCUUUGGAAAGCGUGUUCUUGUGAGUCCAAAUCCAGAGAUGCUGUUGUUGUCUUGUUGGCUUCAGUGACGGCAUCGUUCCUCCCCCCCGAUUCUAACCCCUAACUAACCCCUGCCCCGGGGUCAUUAGUCAUAAGCAUGGAGGGAGUGGAGGGAGGAUUGUCAACAGUGCAGAAUGGAGCCUAUUGUUAGCCCCACAGGCCAGAGGGUGCUGUCUCACCCAUGGAAGUGUCACCAAUUUGGACUAUGCUUGCAGCCAAGUCUUGUGUGUGUGUAUAUGUGUGUGUGUGCGUGUGCACGCCAAUUUUUCUGUGUGUGUGUUUUGUUUGCAAGUGCAUGUAUGUGUUAGAGUGUGUCUGCACAGACGUAUCACCACGGCAACUGCUCUUUUUGGUUGUUGGUUUCCAUCGAGCAUGUGAUGUGGCACAGCCUGACACCUCCACAUGAGCAUGUGAAGCCUGUCAGCAGCUAAUUUGUUGACUUGUUGUCUUCUUUUACAUACUCAUACUUUAUCGCCUCUCUGCCUCCGAAGGUAUGCAUUCGCUUUUCAAACCCGGAGUGCACACAUACUGCAUACACGUGUGGGUCGGUGGGUGGUGCACACGUCUAGUUCUAAUUUGUAUUUAUGUACUUGUGGUCAAAUUAAUACAGAUCACUAUGAUCAUAUCUGGCUGUGACAUGACGUUGGUUCGAAGCCAGCUCUCUUUCGUACAUCUCAGUAAACCCAUUCCUCUCUCACUCUCCCCCCCUUUUCAACCGGGGCCCAGAUUGUUAAAAGCGAGCACACCUUGUUUUAGGAGACCCGGGCCAAGGGGGAAAAUCAGCCUUUAAUAACUUUGUACGGGAAAAGACUCACACUGCCAAAAUGGCAGCCGCCCUGUACGCCGUUCAGCUGGCAAACCAACAGCCAGAGAAGGAGGGACGGGAUUGGAAUGGAAGCAAAAAGUAAGAGUGAUUUUUCUCCCAGACCUCCUGUUGCAGAGACAGCAUGUAGGAACGUGAGGAGAGGGGUGUGAAGAGGCUUAGUGAGCCAUCAUAUUUCAUUCUUAUUAUCCUUAUAUUGCAUUGUACUUCCCCCUCAAAGGAAUGAAUCAUUUCUCCACACUUAUUUUGGAACUAAUCUUCUUGCAGAGUUUAAAUUUUAUCUUCUGUAUCAUGGCGUUAACCGCUCGAAAAAAAUAUGUCUCAAACACGACAACCCUCGCUUACAGUUUGUCCGCUGUAGACUUCUCUUUCCGUCUCCUUGCCCUUUUCUUUCCGCACUUAACAUGCUGUUCGCACUUGUAUGUUUUGGUGUAAGCGGAGUCUUGAGUCUGAGCAGAGCAGAGCUUGGUAGGGAGGAGGCUCCCAGCAUGUUGGAAGCCACACCAUCGCCGGCGCCAAUUCCAACGAGACAUGAGUUAUAGCUCCGGCUUCCCCGAAAUCAAAUAAAUAAUCUCCCUCUUAUUUAUUUACUGUGGCUGUCUCCAUGAUUUGCAGCUUCUUGAUUAUUCUAUAGGGUUAAAAGGACUUGCUUGCGCUCUUGUCAUGCUUGGCCCUCUCUUAAGACACGUGCGAUGCGGAUUUUCAGGCGCACACCUGUCACAUGUUUUUCCAUUUAUAUACUGCAGUCUGGAUAUUUCAUCAUUAAGUAAUUGCAGCAGGCCUAUAAGAGGGUAAAAUCAUUGUCUGAGCAUUUAUGCAGCGGCAGGGUCCACCAUUCCUCCUCACCAGCACCGACAGAAGCAAAAACAUUCAACCAGCCUACCUAUAAACACACACACACACACACUCACGCACACACACACACACACACUGGAAAUGAGCCUUUGGUAGCAACAGUAUAACAGCUAUCAGAGCCUCUUGGCCAUGUGUUGAGUGCAAUAAUGGUAAAGGCAACGACAGGCUCAGCCCAUAUUCUCAAUUAGGCUCCCAAGUGCUAGGUGUGGAAAGGUGUCUGGCACAGCGCCUGACCGCAGCACUCAAAGAGCACUUUGUCUGCCCACCUCACACCCACCGUACCUGCCCAUGUUGUGGAAACAACCCAACGUUGUCACACAGUUGAUUUAAUAAAACUGGAUCCCCAAAAUGAGACUUCUAGUGUUACAGGGGCUCAACAGUCGUAAUGGAAACACAUACCCCGCCCCCCCUCCCUCUCCAUCCCUCUGGCUUUACAGGCGUCCUUCCAGAGUGAGAAUGGGCGAGGGAGACCCCAGGGUAAACGGAUACUUCCCCACUGCGAGCCCAGGAGCCCAGGUAUGGCAAGAGCAAACCCCAUGUCCAAAGCAAGCUCAUACCCCAGCCACAAGCCUGGCCGCUGCAGCAGCUUACAGACUUGUUAAAUGAUGAUUGCGAAAACAGAGAAAGUCAAAAAGGAAAAUAAAGGUAGUGCCAGUGAGGGUGAGGUGCCGCUGUGGUUUUGUAAGUUGGUUUUGGGAUCGGUGGGAAGUCUGCUCAGUCUCCUGUAACUCCUGCUUAGUGCGUGAUGUUUCAGCGUACGUGUUUACAGCAGUGAUGAUUAAUUAUCACCUCAAUAACAGGCUAGACUUAAUGGAUGCAUGCAGUGUAAUGAGGGGAUCGGGUUUUUGUGGUAACUUGCUGGAGGCAUUUGAAUACAAGAGGAUAAAAACAUGAAAAGGAAAACGUUGAACCGCAGUGUUUGGGUCUGCGAUAGGAAACAAUGAAGGUGGCAGCACUGCCUACUUUUGAAACUGACGGCCUAAAUAUUAAUAAUACUUUAUUUAAGUAGUGCCUUUAAAAAAGAGUUUUUAAAACCUUGACAGACAAGAAAAAACAACAUCAGAUCCCAACAGCAAAAACGACCUUAACAUCAACAUUAAAGGGCCUAACCCAGCCAAGACCACAUACAAAUCCAGCCACAUAAACUCAAAACAAAAAUGUAAGAUGAGAAAAGCAACUUAAGUGUAUAUGUCAGAUAAUGGAGGCAAAGAUAAAAAAACAAAUCAGCUGAAAAAUAAGUUAAUAGAUCAAAGAAAUAGAUAACGAUAAAAGCAAGAGAUCAAACAAUAAAAGGACAUCUAAGCAAUUUUAAGGGUAAAUGUAAGAUAGUGGAGGCAGUUAAAAGAGAUCAUAAGAAUUAAAAAUUAAAGCAAGAAAACUUAAGUGAUCAAAGCCUAAAAAGAAGAUAAAAACAUUUUAAAAAGAACAAAUCAAUUGAAAGAGAUCAAAGAAGCUAAAAGAGAUUAAAGCGAUUAAAAGAGGACAACGGAAUUACAAAUUAAAGCAAUAUAACUUAAGUAAUCAAAACCUGUAAAGAAGAUAAAAUCAAUUAAAAGAUAUCAAAGCAUUUAAAAGAGAUUGAAGCAGUUAAAAGAGAUCAAAGCAAUUAAAAAUUAAAGUGUGAUCAAAGCCUGUCAAAAAGAUAAAAGCAUUUAAAAGAGAAAAAAUGAAUUGAAAGACAACAAAGCAAUAGAAAGUUAAAGCAAUAAAACUUAAGUGAUCAAAGCCUGUAAAGAAGAUAAAAGCAUUUAAAAGAGAACAAAGCAAUUUAAAGAGAACAAACUAACUGAGGGGUACCAACACGAACUGUAGCGGUUAGGGGAAUAAAAAGAGAUAAAGCAAUUAAAAGACAUGGUGAAAAUGCAAAGUGAUAAAGGGACUUAUAGAAGAGAUGACAGCAAAAAAAAAAAAGUGCAUAAUGUGCCUUUAAAAUUUACAGAGGCUCAUCAUUUAACAUCACAGCGGCAUUAGGAAUCAGGAAGAUGCCUCGGCAACUAAACUUCAAUGUGCCAAAACGGACAAAAUAUUUUAUUUGUGUUUCUUUUUGUACCCUUGUACAUUUUAAUUUAUUGAGUGAUGUUUACAGCCACUAAGAAAAGAACACAAAGUCUAACAGAUACAUAAAUGCGGUACAAUUCAAUGAAUCUAUGAGUAUUUCACAAAAUGUGACAUUCCUUAAAAGCAACUUUCACAACACAAAACACAACUCUUUGCAAAACAACACAAUCAUCUAACAUUUAACACUAAAAUUACAUGAAACCAAAAGCAACGUCUACAAAUCACAAUGACAUUUCAAAAACACAUCAGAACAACUUUUAGUCACGGAAACAGUUUACACGGAACAAAACAAACAACAACAAUCUGAGUAACUAACAUUUUUUUGCAAAACACAACUUCAGAUGAUAAGAUACCAAAACUUGACUGGAUCUUUUGCCUGAAUCCUGACCUCUAAAUAAGAGCACAUGUUCUUUUAAUGUCAUUAUCAUGUCAGUUCAGUCUGAUCAUUUGUCUUAGUAUUCGAUACCUGACUUACAAAGUGCUUUACAGUAAAAGCAUAUUUCCUGAAUGCAUUUGCUGGUAUAGCAUCACUGUGAGCAAAUGAUGAUUUGUGUGUGUUUUCUUCUCCAUCAUUUUCUGUAUGUUCUGCUUUCUGUCUGUCUUACAUUUUCCUCCAUCUUUAAACAAUAUUUGUGUUUUUUCUGCAACCCAGGUCACUUCGAUCAAUAGCUGAUUGUUUCAGACUAUCUGAUGCUGAAAAAAAAAACACUUUCUGCAUCAAUCUGUUUUGCUUUGGACUCAAUAUUCAAAACAUACUGUAUAGUCAUUUAAACCUCACAGUCUAGUCACUCACAGUGUAGUCAGAUAACUUCGGGGGCAGGGUAAUAGACUCAGAGGUAAACAGGUAAACACUCUGGUGGCGUGUGUGUUUGUUUACUUGUAGGAAGUGCUGACGCAUUGCUAUCACCAGGGGACUCUUAGAAAAGUGGUGGAGAGUCAGUGGUGUGUAUAUGCAUCACUGUGUUGGGGUUAGUCCUUAAAGGGCACACUGUGACAGAACAGGACCCUAAACUGCAGGGUAGACUUCAAUUAAAUCCUUAAAAGUAUGAUUAAAAUCAAAAAGUCUUCCUAACUUGAGAAAGUAGAAAUGCUGAAGUUAAAACCUGUUGAAUUAAUCCAUUUUUAUCUACAUAGUGCAAAACCAUAGCAAAUUUUUUCUCACACUACAAAACAAAGCAGAUCUUGUACUCUUGGUUAAAAUUAAUAAACUGCAAUAAAACAAAGUAGAUUAAAAAUGUUGCCCAUGUCCAUAUAUACUUCUUCUAAAUUCCAGAGAUAGAAUGUACUUAUGUAGGGCAUAAUUACUCGCAUCUUGUUCAUCAUACAAGAAUGAAUUGUUAAACCAAGAAAAAAGUUUAAGGCUGAUAUUAUGGAGCACAUAAUUGACAGAGUGCAACAGGAAAAGUCAAUGAAAUUACUAAAAUUAAUGCCGUUUGAGGUGAGAUCUUUGCAGGAGAAGCUGAGAGUUAAAGAGCUUGCAUUCGAUAACCUAGGAAUUGAAAUUGAAAUGUUAUUUUCAGGAAUCUGUCUGGGUAAGAAGGUUUGGUUGAUGGCAUGAAGUGAUGCUCAUGAUUUAUAAGCUUCCUCUGUCUCCUUUUUGAUCACCAGAAAUAGACUUAGCAUGGAUUUGGCCAAUAGAAAAGAGACAUGGGUCCACGUUAGACACUGCGAUAAUCAUUUAGCUUAAUCAAUACAGAUAGACGCACUCACAUUUUGUUAUAUUUUAGAAAAAUACAUCAGUGGCUUCGAGUUGAAAGGCGCAUGAGCUUUAAAGCUGGGCGAAAUGUUUUGUUCUGUUCUGUUCUCUAUAUUACUGCAAAUAAUUUCUUGCUUUGAUUAGUGCCAUACAGAACGGCGGAUCACCACUCAUACUCAAGAUGACAGCCUUCAGAUUUUCCCAUUAUUGUUUCAAAAAUUCCAUCAAAGAGAAAAUAUUCUGCUUACAUGACCUCGUCUUGUACCAUGAAUGGUUCCACUUUGCUGCACAUUUCGCUGUCUUUAUAACAUCGUUACAAAUGUGUGAGAGUCUCUGCCUGACAGUGUGUUGGUUUCUGUGUUUGUAUGCUUUUUAAUCUGUGUGUAUGUGCGUGCACCGGUAUCCAUACAUCACACAGCAUCUCCACCUCAGCUCCAAAAUAGUUUAGACAAGUUUCACGAGGUUAAAUUUCACGGCCUGACAUGCAGGUUCACUUCCAGGAUCACACUCUGCAGGGUUAUUCGUGUACUUUAUGUGUCUGAACUCCUGACCUUGGAUACAUCGUGGAACAAUUUAUGAUCCCCCCUUUUUUUCUCCCUCCUCGUACAUGAUAAACAUCUGCGAACCUCCCUCAGGGUCGACUACGAUGACAACUUAAAGCGAAGAAGUUUAAAAAAUGAAACAGCAGAAAUCUCAGCUUUCCUCUCUACCUCUCUCUCCUCCCUGUCCUCCUCUCCUUCUCUCUUCCUCAUCUUCUUCUUCUCUGCUCUGAUGUGAUUCUGUAGUCUUUGGAGGUAAACAGGGGGGAGGAGAAGAGGAGGGAGAGGGACGGAUCCUUUUGCACAUCUGAGGUUUAUUUUGCCUCCCUCUGGGGAGUGCGGUGAAACUCUGCAUCUCAGGGAAAUUGCCAACGCUUUCUGGGCCGGCUUGGCAAACUCUCAAACGCACUCUCACACAUGCACUCGCUCCUCAGCUGGCUUAGGUUCCCUAACUUUGCACCGUCACAGUCGCGGCCUAUGUCCACUUUCCUUCCGCCACGAUCUUUAGGUGCACGUUUCCAGUCUUGCGAAGUGUAACCCUCUUUUGUUCUCAUGUAAAUAAUGUAGCUAUGCUUCGGAAACCCCCUUGAUUCCUCCCUCGGCAUGCUUGAAUGACAAUUCUGUAACCAAGCAGGCCUUAACUUGUCAAGAAAAACCACCGCCAAGGACUCAACACCCAAAAGGAUCUAAGACUGCAGCUUUUUCUGGAAAACUAAAGCACGGAAAAAGUACAUAUAUGAUCCUGAGAAGAUGCCAACUCAUCCCUGAGGCCUUUACUUCCUCCCUCUCUUGCAACCCAUCCCCCUCCUCUCUUCCUGCAUUAAUUCCCCACCUGGCUGCCAUUGAGGUUAACAUCAGCUGUGGAGAGGGGUUAACAAUCACAGGCAGGUGCUUCUCCGAGUGACCUGGAUGCAUUUAUCCCCCAAUCCCCUGAUGACCCCCGACAGGAAGUGAAUCGCUGUCUAAAUGACCUCCCCUGGUGGCCCUUCCUGUCCCCAUGUUGCCUCGCAGGAAGGAAGGAUGCGGUCUGCUGUCCUCAGGCGCAGCUCACCCUCUCUCCCCCCCUCACAUUAAAAAAAAAAAAGAUUAUUGAUUCCAGGCUCGUCUCUUUUUAUGCUCAUUUUUUAUCCUUCUUUUGGUCUCUUCUAUUUCCCGUCUUCUUCUUCUUCUCCCUUGCCUCAGCACCCACUUUAUCCUCUUUUGACAUAACUCCUUUCGUCUUUGUCCAUCUUUAGUGUGCCCCUGUGAGAUGUAAAUAAACACUGUGGACACUGGCAAAACCACAACACAACCCAAUCCAAAUGGAUUACACACCAGGGACUAACAAGCGCUGUGAUUUAUAGUCCCCGUUUAAUUUAUUUCUCACAGUGACUUGUUUAUUUGUGUUAUUGUUACUUUAUUGGCCGUUUGUUUGCAUUAAAAGUGGCAGUCAUUUCAUGUGGCAGAGAAAUCCCAAUGCCAGGCUUCUGGGUUUAGUCUGCUCUCAAAUGAUGCACAUGCACUUUGUGAAUUACAGGACACCAUUUGGUGGUAGUUAAGAGGAGAAGGGGACUUCCCGACAGACGGAGAACGAGACCUCACUGACAACAUCAAACGCUGUUUUUUCUGUUGUUCUUCUGGCUGUAGUUUAAAAAGCAGGGACUCCAAACCACAGAAAAAAGGUGAGGAGGUCAUGACGAACCUUUUGCUAAAUGCUCACUCAUCUGUUGUUGUUAUAGCUGUGACAGCAGAGCGGGGGGAAAAGAUUUUACCUCCCUGUGCGGAUUUAUGCUUUUCUCUUGUUAACAUUAUCACACAUUGUAAAAUUAGUCACACUCUCCGUUCAACUGGAUAAGAUUUCUGCGGAUCACAAGCUGCAGACACAUACCGUAAAACCCAGAAUAUAGGUCGCAGUCGCUCUCAGAGAGCAAAAGGUUUCAUUUGUGCUCCUGCAUGGAGGAGGCGUGCAUUUCACUCAGCAAUGUGCAGUUUGUAUGCGGAUGUGUAGCUACAACCUUAACCUGAGGUAGCUAGGACAGUUGCGAGCAUAGGCGUCAGUUUAUUGUAACCCCGGUUAUUUUCAGUAGUACAGAUAAUUCUGACGCUUCGGUAUUCGUCCAAGAGUUGCAGACCUUAGCGAGGAUAACAAAAACAUAAUACUGUUGUAAAUUUGCGUCUGUGCCAAGUUGAGUUAGAAAACAUGUUUGCGUGUUCAACCCUAUGAUCAUCCCUUGUAAUAACUACAUGCAAGGGGUCGUUAGAUGGUUACAUAAAAUAAGUCUACGCACUUUAUAGUAGCCGUACCAAAAGUAAAAUCAAUUAAAGUCUUCAUCCCAAAGUCACUUUUGCUCGUAGCUGUCCCCACCACUUUUCGAAACAAACUGACGCCCCUGGUUGCGAGGGUUGAACGGACUAACAGCACACAUUUCAAGACUAUUUUAUGAGACAAGAGGAGUCCUGCGCACAGUCUGUCAGAAAUACAUUAAUAGGCAACAUUCUGAUACUAAAAUACUGUCUGUGAGUGAAGCUGUGAUCAUUAGACGAUGUAAAUGUCCCUUGAAAGUGUAAAAUCAGGGAUUAUGUACUUAAAAGUAUUUUGCACUGCCUCACUGAGGCAUGCAGGUCUUCAGUGAAAGAGGCUCUGACCGGAUAUAAUCUGUUUUUGUGGAUGCAGGAAUAAAAUUCAUCCGACGACGGCGGUUUUUGGAAGUGGUUGUGAGCCGAUGUGGUGAUUUCCACGACAGAGUUGUGUUUGUUUUUGAUGCAAUGCCAAGUGAGGCCUCAAAGAUCACAGCUGUAUUGUCUUUCAGUUGUGACUCCAGGUUCUUUGCACGAUUUUUCAGUUUCAACUUUAUGUUAUUUUUGCACUAUUUUUAAUUACAUAGAAGAUUUAAUUUAAUUCACAAUAAGCAGCUCCCCACUUGUUUUAGAAGUACAGUCACAAAUGAUUGAUUUGAUUUUUCUUCUCCGACAGCUCAUUGAACAUCACAGACGACAACAGAACAUUAUAUACACACCAACAAUAAAUGACAUACACAAAAACAAAGAUGACAACACAAUAGCGGACAGACAGAUCAGCGGGGCCUGCAGGGAUCAGGCUUUGAUGGUUUUGUACCUGCGUGAGGGUAGUGGGAUGAUAUAUUGGUUUAAUGGGUGAGUGCUGUCUUGCGCUAUAGAGAUUGCUAGGCGGGUGAUGGACUUGUUAUUUAGUUAAUAAAAUUGUGGAUUGUUUUAUAUAGAGACCUUAUAUAAAUGUCGGUUGAUUUUCAUCUAUGCGUUGUCAGAUUUAACCAAAUUUUAGCUUAAGAUGUCCAAAAAAAUAACAGCAGAGCACUUAUUUCACGUUCAAAUGCAGUUAUUUUUUGAAUAACUAACACUUCAACCAAAUUCCUGUCAUCUUUGUUUUUUUCACUAGUGUCUUUAAAAGUUAAAUUUUGUCCUCCGGUUGAAUUAAAUCCUGUUCUUUGUUUUCUAAAUGAAAAUAUAACACGUUCUAAAAGAUUUGGGACACACGAGUGGACAGCAGGAGAGAGUGUGAAGUGAGAUGUUGUGAUCCCACAGGUGUUUAUCUCCCCUCUGUGAUGUGGUUCUGCAACUGCAGUGCCACCUAGUGGGAGGGACGGUUAACUGCCCUCUGAAUCACUGCUGUGUUAUGGGACUAAUGUAUGUUUGGUAAACAGACGCAGCAUGUUCACUCAAACAUACAGAGCACGUCUGAGGUGGAGUUACGAUAAGUAAAGAACUCAGACAGAACAAAUGUAGACUAUUUGUCUCCGUCAUCUGUUUGUCCAUUUGUACUUUUUCAGGUCAGACUGUUCGUCUGCAACCUUAAAGUAUUCCGGCUGAGCUUCUCCAACCAAACAUCGAGGCAGUGAGUUCACAUCUGGAGCUUAUGUGGGAGAUACACAUCAAUAAGUCAGGCCUUCAAGCCAGCAGAGAGCAUCCCUACAGUUGCUAAGAAUUAAGAGGACUCUGAAUAAAUAAAUGACUUAUCAGUCGAGAAGAGGCUAAAGAUGCUUUAAAACGGCGUCUCGGUCCAAAGAGAGACUUGGAGGAACUGUGAGGGGGUGGGUAUUAGGAGAGAACAUGCUGGAAAAGCAAAGGAAGGUUUGUUUGGCCACGUUUUGCUAAUUGGUCUCAGUGGUGCAGCUAAUGGUUUUAGGUUUAUGUCCAAGCUCUAAAAUAAGUGGGAACCAGUGAACAGCUAGGCGCUGUGUUUUAUGCAUUUUCAUCAUUUUGCGAGCGCACGAGUGCAGAAAAUUGCAAAUGUAGACUGAAAUCACCUCAUUUAAAACCGCACGUAACACAUCCUGUCACUCCUGCAUGUAUGAAACAGAUGUUCGGUGAAGUGACUUUGGAGCUACUUCAAGUUUUCACACCCCAAAAUGUCAAGCUAGCAUUUCAGCUUCAGUGACAUGCUUUGAUAUUUUCACCUCCGUCCCUGUCCGUCGUCUCUCUCGGGUUAUGCGUGGCCCUCCUCCUGACCCCUCAGCAGUCCGUUUUGUCCGUCUUUCAUCGGCUGUAGCUGAGGCAUGUGGCAACAAAGCUCUGCUGUGGUCUUAUGGCAUCUGUCCCUUCAGUAAUCCCUGCGUUAUCGCUGCACAUCAAAGCGUUAAAGGCUUGCAUAAUUGAGUUAACGAGUGUGUUGGUAAGUAACCUGAUCUUUUACUCCCUGUGAGGAGAGCGCUCAUAGUGUGUGACCACAGAGAGACACAAAAAAGAGGGGCAGAGAAGGCCGUAAAGCUCUGCAACAACUGUGGGUUCACGCUGUGGGCCUGGCAGGCUGCGCGGUGCCCAGGGUUAGAGCCACGCUAAUGAAAAAACAACAGUGGGGUAAUGCUAGAGUGGAGCUGGAGCCGUUGCAGCGUGCCCACUGCACAACUGCCCCGGUCAGCACUGGCACUGGCCGGAGCGCCAGUUGUCACGGCCUUAAUCCUGCCUGCUGAAUGACCUCAUCAUUGCCCGCCCGCCUCCUUGCAGCUGCUGCACGUCGAGGCUCGGUGCUGCAACAGCACCAGAGUGACCUCACCUACACAGCACAUGCACGAUCACAUGCAAAGUACGCAGAUCGAGCAAAGCAGGACUCAAAACAUGCAAAACUUUGCAGCGUGCACGGUCAAAGUUGCAAGAAGACAUUCCUCUGCAACAGUGGCAUGUCUCCACAAAGAUAGGUCGUCUUUAUUUUGUUCUCAUGCAUGAAAGAUCGUAUCAUAAAAGUAAAUACUGACGCAAAAAAAAAGGAAACUUAACACCCGUGCUCACUCAGGCCAAAGAUCUUCUACACUGUUUUACUCAGAAACCAAAGUUAUAGUCUUCGCUGACAUGAAAAUCGCUGUGGUUCAUUAAAUCAUUAGCUAGCUAGCUACUAGGCCAACAUCAGCAAACUAAAGCUGUCAGAAAUCAAAACUUUUUCUCUUUUGACUGAUGAAAUAAACAAUCACUUUAUGCAUUAGUAACCCGGUGUCAGUGUCUCUUUAUCUUGGCCCUGUUCACGAUUAUUCCAAUAUGGAAGUGACCACUGCGUUCACACAGUCAGUCCUUUUGGUUUCUGGUAACGCAAUGAAAGCUUAAAGGGAUAUUCCGGCAUAAAAUUAAUUUAGGGUCAAACACACUUAACACCGAGUUAGACCGCAGAUAGCAAAAUACAGUGGUCUGAGGAGCCAUAAACAAACCUCAACCAAAACGCCACAAAUGAUGCUCAGAACAGCACCUAACUUCAUCAACAGGACAUAAAGGGUCCCAGCCACAGCACUAGCCACCAAACAUCUUUUUAACUUUGCCUAAUUUCUUUAGCAAAGAGACUAAACACAACUCACCUACUCUCUUCCAGCAGCCGCUUGUUUGUAGCGAGACCUAAGGCCAGUCCGUCAUCGACUAAAGGAGUGACGCAGCUAAAGGAAGAACAUUUAUGAUCAUUACUUUAUCAUUUUCUUGAAGUAAUAAUCACCAUAUUAAUCAUUUUACACUGCAGACAUGAUAGUUCUUCUGCAUUAUCGUCUCGGUCUGAUUGUAUUUCCAUGAAGAAAAUAUCAUAAAUGUUCUUCCUUGAGCUGCGUAACCCCACAGCAGUCUGAAAUGGACUGGCCGAGGUCUCGCUACAAACAAGCGGCUGCUGGAAGAGAGUAGGUGAGUUGUGUUUAGUCUCUUUGCUAAAGAAAUUAGGCAAAGUUAAAAAGAUGUUUGGUUGCUAGUACUAUGGCUGUGACCCUAUAUGUACUGUUGAUGAAGUUAGGUGCUGUUCUGAGCAUUAUCUGUGGCUAUAGAGUGGCGUUAAGUUGAGGUUUGUUUAUGGCUCCUCAGAUCGCUGCUAUCAUGCGGUCGUUACUAAAGUUGGUAUAAUUAGAGAAGCAAGCGGUUGGCAACCUUCAUCUCUCGAGGGGGUGUCUAACUCGGUGUUACGGUGUGUUUGACCCUAAAUUAAUACUAUGCUGGAAUAUCCCUUUAAUUCAAUGUCGCACAAAACAGCUCGACUCGGUAGACUCACAUGAGAACUCUAAAACAUCCAGGUCAAAUCCAGGUCGUCCACUCAAAGAUUCUAAUCUUUGUUUACGAAGCCUGUGCGUAUAACUCCAAGUGAGUGCGGUGCUAGUUCAGGCAGGCCAUUGGUGAAUUCAAAGACACUGAAAGUUGUUUUUUAAGAAUUUUACAUCAAAGUGUCUCUACGGAAACAAAAUCAAGCUCACCCAGGAAAACUCACAGACCUCAGUCUGGGCGUUUAUGACCGGAGAUAGCUCCAAUAAUAGAAAUUGUCCCACCCAGUAAAAACGAUCCACUGCAAGGUCUGUGGACUGUCAAGAAUUACCAGGCUAUUGUAUUUUGAGCGCCAAAUGUGCCAUUUUUUUAUGCAUUUAGCAACAAAAUUGCAGCAGCUUCCAUUGUCUGUUGGACCCGAGGAUAGUCGUUGCGGUUGAAAUUUCAAACCAGUCCAUUAUAAGACGGUUCUGCCCCUGAUAUGAAGCCAAGAAGGAGUGCAAACAUAGGAAACAGUGGGUCUAAAUGUGGCACAAUUAAAUGAACAACUGUGAUGUAUUUCCAUAUUCAUGUCUUGAACUUUUGCAAGAGAAAAAAAAAAACUGCAUCAGCUGGAAAACAACGAUCAGCGAGAGCAGUUGUUUUCUUUGUGAUUUGGGUGAUUUAACCUUUUAGCUAAUUACGGCAAACAUGGCUGUAUCAUGUAAACAUGGAGCUAAUUUACAUUUGUAUACAUUGUAUGAGAGCUCCAUAUUGCACUCACAUUAAACAAGAUCAGACUGCUUUGCCCAUACAAACUCAAUUACCGUCAAGAUAGAUAAAAAGAGACACAAACACAGAUGUACAUAGUGUUCAUGAACAUAUAUCGGCACACAGACACACUUGUGUGUGUGAUGAAAAUAAAGAGACACUUGCUCCGUUGGCACCUCCUCCAAUCACACACGCCGCCUCCACUCCUUCAUCCCAGCUGUCACAACUGCAAAAACUCUACAAAUACACACACACACACUCUCUCGCAUAUUCACACUCACCCACACACACCACUUUUCCUGCUCACACCUUUUCCCGCUCACCAUGGCUCUCUCCAGUUGGUGCUCGUGUGCCCACUCUCUUCCGCAGCUUGUAUGUAAAGUGUGUGUGUGUGUGUGUGUGUGUGUGUCUGUGUAAGUGUGUGUGUGUUUAUGAGCGCGUGUGUCAUCGUCUUUUAUUGCUGUAGUUCCAGCUGAGCUCAGACAUGCAUAGUGCCCACCUCUGCUCCGGCUGCAUAUAAGGAAGGACGUGGACAGUGAGUCAUGUUUUAUUGUGGCCUCCUCUAAGCUGUGAAAAAUUACAGCCACCUAAAACUCAAUCUGUUCUGCGUCUGAGAGCGAGCGAGAGGAUUGAAGUGGCAGUGAGCAAUUUAGGCACGCCUUGUAGUGAAUCUCUGCUUUUUCUCUGCUUUACACCCCUUUUACUUUUUGCUCCAACUUUAUAGGCCAUUGAAUCUCAUAAUCGGUGUGUGAAACCACUCCUGCGCUCACUCUCCGUGUUGUGCCGCGUUCGGGCGAGUUUGCGCGCUCAACGCCAAAUGCUUCCUGUUUGACAGCAGCGCCAUGUGUCAGGUAAUAAAUCUGAUCCCCGCAGAAACAGAAUCCACUGACAGUGACGCUUGCAGGAAGCACCCUGGGUUAGUGUGGAUUUAUGGUCAGGCCUCAGAUAACACACCCACUACCCUCAUUUUUUAACAUGACAGAUUGGCGUAUUUGCAAGUGGAAACAAGAGUGUUUUGCACCUUAAAUCAAUCCUCAGAAAUUCAGAGCAGAUUCGAAUUAAAUUUAAGUUAAAGGGCCUACAUCCAGAUAAAUAACCCGACUGAAAUAAGGAGCAGAUAUUGAGGAAAAUUGGGCCCCUGGUAGUGAUUAUUACCCUCGUGGAGCUUUUUCCAUCCUGGUACCCUGGCUCAGACUCCCAUGUCUGGAUCUUUUAAAGGGUCCAGGGAGGGUUGGGCAUGUAUUAUUUUCAACACUUCAGAUUAAACCCUGCUACAGCUCUCUGAGGCCUUACUAAUACAGACCUCCUGCCGGGUAACAGCGAAAUUAAAACUGAAGAGAAAAAAAAAAAAAAAGAAAACAGCCGUGACUGUGAAAAUAGUGUUAAAAACAGAGGUGGAAAUUGCAAGCGUGACACCGAGAUGCUGUGAUGACGUCUUUUGGAAAGGUAAUAAUUAACAGAGUCACCUUUUUUACGACAUAAAGGAAAGAGAAUUAGAUCUUUAAUAUGAUGACAGGUUUGAAGUCAGGGCUUGGCUUCAUUGGUUUAGCACUUUGAAAUAUUGCAAAAUGGAGUAAAAUGAUGAUGCCAAGGCAGUUUCAAGCCACCAGAACACAAUAUUUUUGCAAAGGCCUCUCUAUUUUCUCAUGUACCGCUACAGCAUAUGAAAGGGUGCAGCUUUUGGAUACACAUUAUAAAGACUCAGGAUGUCCUGCUACAACUUUUUUUACUCUGGGUACGAUACCGAUAUUGAUCUGAUAUUUGCACAAACUUGUGCAUGACAAGUUUUGCACUCAGCUGCAAUGUCGUUUUUGGACUUGAACGAAAAAUACUGCCACAGGGCCGACAUCACUCCUACUCCUUGCUACUUUGUUAGUACCUAAUGCUGCGUUGGAGUUACCUCGGAAGUCAGAAGUCGGAGCUGAAAAUGAAUUCACACCCGAGUUACCAGUGAAACCCGAAUAAGCAAAAAAUGGCUACAUCUACGAUAGUUAUUUAACGCUUGCCUUCUAUUUUGCCUUCAAUUUUGCUUUUCCGACUUGGUAACUGAAACGCUGAGAACUUGGUUGUAACGUCAUUUUCAGCUCGGACUUCUGACUUCCGAGGAAACUUGAACACAGCAUUAGUACACACUGUUGUUGUGAUCAUGUGGGCUCCACAUGCUGGAUCCAGGCGCUGCUAGUAGAGGUGCCGGAGUGGAGGCUUGAAUGGACUGCUUGAAUCGGUGUGCUGAUAUCGGAGAUUUUAGAUGCAGGCCGAUAUAAUCCGAUAUUUGUUUUUUGGCUGAUAUUUGCACACCGAUAUCCAAUAUCAAUAUCGUAUCAGGACAACUCUAAUAAGGACAUUGAAAGUUCAUCAAGUUAUCGCACAUUUGUUGCUUGUCUCUUUUGAUUAAGGUCAGAUGCAGACAUAAAUUAACAAAACGUACAUUAAAUAACUCCCUAAAGGUGAAUGCGUGAUGCAUACAGACAGACAGAGAGAGGGCAAAAAUCAAAGUUUGACUGCAGAUGCUGCAUUAAUGCAAGUCAUGCUGUUGGCUGGGGGCAGCUGUUGCUCAGCGUUGGAGCCGGUUGUCCCUCAAAUGGAAGGUCGGUGUCCUCCGGCGGAACACUGAACCCCGAAAUUGCUCCCAGAGGCACAGUCAGCAGUGUGUGAAUGAGAUCAGUUAAAACAAAUGGACCCUUUGCACCGCAGCCUCGGCCAUCAGUGUGCAGGGGCACAUCUAGAAGGGUGACCAGGGGAGGGUAAUGACCCACCUUGUAAUCUGACUGGCCACCAACAGGUGCUAACUCGAAAUCCAAAAGUAUGAUUGGCUGUUCACCUUGUUGGAGGAGGGUCUUGGACUGUGUUGUGACAGUUGUUAGAUAGUUUUCUUGGAGCUUGUUUUCUUGCACUCCCUGCAUUUCCUGUUUCUCUUUCGCUGUCCUGUCCAUACAGCUCCCCAAAUUAUCCUAUAAUAAUAAACUCAUGGAUAGAUGUGUGCACACAUUUCAAGUGCAGCCUGUUAUAUACGGCUUUUUUUCUGAUGGGUACAUAAACGUACUUGCAUGUGUGCACGCGUGUGACACUGCGCUGUUAUUUACUUGGUUUUGAUUUGCAUAACCAUAUGGAGCUGUUUGUUUUGGUUUUCCAUAUGCAGGGAGAGUGGCUGUUAUGUUGACCGGGGUUUGCAGAGACUGAUUUGUUUACCUGCUCGGAAACGGAGGAGACGACAUCACCUCAAAAGUUCUUGUUAGUUUGUGCAAAAAGUGUUAAAGGCACGGUUGACAUUUCCUCUUCGACUUUGCCAUUUCUACUGUCGCACUAUAGGACCAUGAUCGCCAUAUAAACCAGGUUCAUAAUAAUAACCAAUCUCUCCAAUUGUCAACCAUACCUUUAAUUGACAUUUACUUUAUAUUAUUUUAUUCCCAGUUGAAGUUGCUGCCGGUCACUUUUAUCUCUUCGGAGAAUACUGGGAGUGCAGUACAGCUGGAUUUGAGGACUUUUGACUAAAAAUAGGCUGAAAAAAAAGGGGCCUCUAAGGUCCUGAACUUUCUCAUAGCAGUAAACACCAUCCUCUGGUCGAAGUAUUAAUAGUGCUAUGAAGUUUAUUUUGGUAUGUUUGGCAAAGUCUCCCUCGUUAACCCUUAAAAGACUUGAUAUUCAUAAUAUUUUCAUUUCUACGUGAAGAAAAGUGCCGAACUGAAGAAAAACUCAAACAGAAUUGAAUAUUUCAUUUCAGGAUAAACACGAGGAAGGAUGUCGUGCAGCAUAAGGAUUUGCUUUGUGUAACUUUUUUUUAAUGGAAUAAACAAGAAAGCUCGAUCUAAACAAGCAGCACCCAUGCCACUUAUUUCUCCUCCUCCUUUUUCUCACACACACACAAACUCUGUUCCUCUCGUUUAAGACGCCUCUGGGAGCGAAUAAGUGCCAGGCCGUACCAGUCCACUGGUGCUCGCUCUCGCCAAGGGCCUGACAAACAGGGAUGCCGGCUGGCAGGGCGCCCCCCUCUCCCUCCACCCCUCUCUCCUCGACGCACCGGGGGGCCGCGGGCAGCUGAGAGAGAAAGCGGCCAACAGAUCAACAGUUGCCGUGACGCUGGGUGAGCGACUGGCCAGGCUGCUGCACGCCACCCAGCCCACAUUAGGGGGCACCUGACCCUGGGUAAACUGACAAAUGCCUGGCCUUUGGGUGCGCCUGCAGAGUGAUGUGACCCUCAGGCCGCUUUAAUCUGACUGCGCCGGACACGCACGCACACAUGCGAGCACUUCGAACCAUCCUCCGCCUUAUGUUGCCAGUCAAAAUGUUUUUCAAGCACCUGAUUAAGUACAUUACACUUGCAUUCGCCCACGCUUUGCAGGCCGUUUGAUUUACCGUCAUGGAAAUGGCGCAGCUCUGAGGCUUCUCGCUCCUAGACAAGAAUGCUGUAAUAUGCUCCUAAUUAACAUGUUGAAAUGAUGAGAUUUGAUUAGUCUUUGACAGCUGAAACACACAGUUGCUUUACUGUAAUUCGAUCGCCACCUUGUUAGUUUAAGCCACGAAAAAGUACAUUUGCCUGAUUAGAUUCUCCCCCCCUAUACCUCCUCGGUUUUAGAUCUUUAUGUGCCAUGUAUAUGUUGGCACGGACAAACACAAGCAUAUGGCGCACAAGUUUUAUAGCCUCCUCAUGUACUGUACACUCGUCAGGCACAUUUAACUCAUCUUGACAAGGCUGUUAAUUUCUCUGAAACCAGGCACAGUCUUCAGCAACCCUCUCCCUCUCUCUCCUCGUCCCCUCUUCCCUCCAAAAUGCCCAGCUGUCUCCGCAGCAGACAGCUGCUUCAGGGGUAGAACGAAUCUCAGCUGUCGAGGGGAGCCGUGCGUGGGGGUUGGUGGAUUUUGGGGGGGGUUGUUGUAUUUCCCCCCCCAGCAAAAAACCAAUGACAACUCCACACCCUGCGAAGCACCGAGUUGGGUGGAGUGUGGAAAAGUGCUGACGGUGUGCAGAUUUAGGGACAGAAACCAGAGGCUACAGCUGUCUGUGUGUUUACAACCAAAGAGGCCAGGACUUCUGAGAAAGGGGAAUUCUGGGGUCAAAGAAGUGACGUCUCUAAAAAUGUCUGUGUAUAAUAUUUAGGUGUAUUCUUAGUAUGAUUUGAAGUUUGUAAGUGAUUGCCUCACUUCUCAGGUUUCAUGUAUUUUACUUUUACCUCUCAUAAAUCAGUUAGAGAGUUAAGACUGGCCAUAAAAGACUAAAAUUUUUUGCACAAAUGUUAUUAAAACUCUGCCAUAAUGAGUAUCCAGGUCACACAGCUAACUGAGAGAGCUGUCAUGUGGUCGUUGCAAAACCCAGAAAAGGGUUUAAGGUCCCAUCAAAUUAUAUAUUUUAGUUGUUAAAGGGAUAUUCCGGCUCAAAAUUAAUUUAGGGUCAAACACAUCAUAACACUGAGUUAGAAACCCCCUCGAAGGAUGAAUGUUGCCGACCGCUUGCUUCUCUAGUUACACCAACUUUACUAACGACCGCAGGAUAGCAAUACAGAGAGGUCUGAGGAGCCAUAAACAAACCUCAACUAAAACACCACUCUAUAACCACAAAUAAUGCUCAGAACAGCACCUAACUUCAUCAACAGGACAUAUAGGGUCCCAGCCACAGUACUAGCCACUAAACAUCUUUUUAACUUUGCCUAAUUUCUUUAGUAAAGAGACUAAACACAACUCACCGACUCUCCUCCAGCAGACGCUUGUCUGUAGCGAGACCUCAGGCCAGUCCAUUAUGGACUGCUGCAGGGUGCUGCAGCUCAAGGAAGAACACUUAUGAUCAUUUUUUUAUGUAAAUGCAAUCAGACCGGGACGCAAAGGCAGAAGAACUACUGUGUCUGCAGUGCAAAAUGAUUAUUGUUGUGGUGAUUAUUACUUAAAGGAAAUGAUAAAGAAAGCAGUCGGCAACAUUUAUCUCUCAAGGGGGUGUCUCACUCGGUGUUACGGUGUGUUUCACUCUAAAUUAAUUUUACGCUGGAAUAUCCCUUUAAGAGAAGGUCCUUGUUGUUUUUUAAAUUAUGUUCUGAAUGCAAGACAUCACAAAUUGGCUGCCUGAAUGUUGUAUAAGGGGACAGGGGGCAAACCAAUGACACAAAAUAAAACACUUAUAUAGACUUGGCGAGUUCUCCAGGAGAACAUUAACCAAUACAUCGCAUGUAUGAUCCAAAAUCUGACCCCAGAAAACAGGAGGGAUGAAAACCAGAGCCCACAGCUGUCUGUGUGUUUACCGCCACAGUGCUCAGUACUUCUGAAAAAGGGGAAUUCUGCGGUCAAAAAAGGGAUGUCUCCAAAAUGUCUGUGGACAAUAAUUUUAGUUUCUUGUUGUGUGAACAUAUUCUCAGCAUAACUUUACUUUUAAAUGUUUACUUCACACCCUAGAUUUACAAUACUGUAUUUUAACCAGAUGGAAAGUUGGGAUUGGCUCUAAAACAUUGGAUUUGUGGCUUUGGUUCCAUGUUUUGUUUUUUUUUUGUUUGUUUUUUUGGCAAAAAUGUUUAAAAAAUGUUACCACAAUGAAUAUAAACAGCAUACAACUAAGUGUGAAAGAAAAAGCUCUUGGUAAUUCUGCGUUUUCUCUCCAUUUCCUAAAAGUUGCCGAGAGUCGCUGUGAUGAUGCUCAGCUCAAACGGCGAAUCCCUCAGGUGAGCUACAUAAUCUUCGUACACCCAUAGGCUGUAUCAAGUGUCAAUCAUAGAAAACACGAACCCUCUAAUAACUUUUAAAAACUGAGCUGUA